UAUCAUGAAGUGAUUUAGGGUAAACUUAAAGCUGUGGAAAAUUGUAUUGUUACAUUCGUUCAUACAAUACAAUAUAAUUUUUUGUUUUAUUCAGUGAAGUGGAAUGAUAAUAUUUUUGUGCAUCCCAUUUAGCCUAAAUUUGUAAUAAGAAAUAACAAUCCUGUCAAAACUAAAAGAUUCAGAAAAGAAGAUAUGUUUCUGUAUAACUCUAACCUCAAGUUCGUGAUACUAUUAACUUCCUUCAGAAAUGGCAAAACAUUGGCCUCUGUAACAGUAAAUGAAAAUUUAGAGGAUGGAAGUGUUAUCCUGAGUAAGCUAUUUUUCUCUGAAAUUUAUGUGGGUCAUACUAAAGUUCUCUUGAAAGUUUUCUGGAAUUUCUUGUGAGUUCGCUCUGAAAAUGAGAAUUCUAACAAAGACAUUGGGAUCUCUGAUUUCCUGCAAAGAAACAUUAAUAAAGAUAAAUGUAACAGCUCCGUGUUAUGAUGUUGAGAAAAUUCACACUCCGAGUGGCACUGUUAAUAUUAUAGCUGAUUCAGUUGGUCACCGACGACAAUCCUGCACUAAAACUCAUUUCGGUGGGGCGAAUGGGAGGGUUGGGCAAAACUGCCGUGGCGAAGAAAGCCUGACAACGUUUCAGAGUCGUUCAAAAUGAAAAUCCAGAGACUUCUGAAGGACUUCAAUUAGAAGUCUUCUCGGACAUUUUUUUAAUUGUUAAGAGGUUACUUUUGGGAGCAUGAGUGCCCCUCCAGAGUCGCCAACUAUUGCUAAAAAAAGUACUAGAAAGGUGUAAAGGACUGCCCCUUGCAAUUGUCGCCAAUAGUGGCUUGUUGGCUUCAAAGGGCAGCAGCAAAAACAGAACGGGAAAUGAGUGAAGUUCAGUAGAAUCAAAGUGGGUGAUAAAGUCGCUGGAAGACAUGGAAAUAAAGGCAUCAUUUCCAAAAUUUUGCCUGCAUUCCCGCAGAUUUGGAGAUUGGCAAGCUUAGAGCUACAGAAAAAUCAUUGUGUAUGAUUGUACGAAAUUAGUCACAUCUAUUCAGAAAAUGCUGCAAAAGGAGGAAGAAAUCUUAUUUGUGAAAUUGUAAUAUAAUGAAUCUUUUAGUAGGAUAAGCACAACUGAACUGCCCAUAUUCUUUCUAAUGAACUAAGUGUUGGAUCAUCCAAACAAACAAGGGGGAACGUUCUGCAGUCAAGAAUAGAAUGAAUCUUUCUUUUAUUCCAUACCGAAUCCCAACCAGCCCUUUAAGACUGAUCUCAAAACAGUGAGAACUGGAUUAGCAGUUAGUAAAGAGUUUAGCAAAGAAAAGAGCACGUCUCAUGUCAAAAACGUUGCCGUUAAACAAGUAAAAGACACUGCACAUUGAGGAAAAAGAAAAAAAAAAAACUGAAACCAAGAACGACAAUAUAUCUUAAACAGAUGUCGAAAAUACAAGUCGAACAAAUAGAAGUCUCUCCCGCUCGGAAAGACACCCAAAGGUAACACCACCUGCCCCAUCAAAAUUACAACACAAAAUCUAAAAAACCAUUGUAUUGACUAGACGCAUAUGGUGCUCACUGCAGCUUAAUCAACUUCUUCAAUCUUAGGGCCAGCACCACUGCCACCAGCUGGAGGGACAUCUUCAUCCAUACCACCUCCCAUGUCUGGACCACCAGCACCCUGGUACAUCUUGGCAAUGAUAGGGUUGCAAAUGCUCUCCAGCUCCUUCAUCUUGUCCUCGAACUCGUCCGCCUCAGCGAGCUGAUUGGCAUCUAACCAUUGGAUAGCCUGUUCAAUGGCAUCCUCAAUCUUCUUCUUGUCAUCUGGGGAAAGUUUGGAGCUGAUCUUCUCAUCCUUCACAGUGUUCCUCAUGUUGUAGGCGUAGUUCUCCAAAGCAUUCUUGGCAUCAAUCUUCUUUUUAUGCUCCUCAUCCUCAGCCUUGUACUUCUCAGCCUCCUGUACCAUCUUCUCUAUCUCUUCCUUGGAUAAUCUUCCUUUAUCAUUUGUGAUGGUAAUCUUGUUCUUCUGGCCAGUGGUCUUGUCCUCGGCAGAGACAUUUAAGAUACCAUUAGCGUCAAUGUCAAAGCACACAGUGAUCUGAGGAACACCUCUUGGUGCCGGAGGAAUGCCAGAUAGCUCAAAUUUCCCAAGUAAGUUGUUGUCCCUAGUCCUUGCUCUCUCACCCUCAUAAACCUGGAUCAAGACACCAGGCUGGUUGUCAGAGUAGGUAGAGAACACCUGCUCCUUCUUUGUGGGAAUGGUGGUAUUCCUUGGUAUUAAAACAGUCAUAACACCUCCAGCAGUUUCCAGCCCAAGAGACAAGGGAGUAACAUCCAAGAGCAGCAAAUCUUGCACCUUCUCAUUGCCCUCGCCACUUAAAAUUGCUGCCUGAACAGCAGCCCCGUAGGCAACAGCCUCAUCAGGGUUUAUGCUCUUGCAAAGCUCCUUCCCAUUAAAGAAGUCCUGCAACAAUUGCUGCACCUUAGGAAUUCUAGUAGAACCACCAACAAGAACAACAUCAUCUACACUGCUUUUGUCCAUUUUAGCAUCCCUCAAACACUUCUCAACAGGCUCCAUACACUUCCUGAAGAGAUCCAUGUUAAGCUCCUCGAAUCUAGCACGGGUAAUAGUUGUAUAGAAAUCAACACCCUCGUACAAAGAAUCAAUCUCGAUAGUUGUCUGAGCAGUAGAUGAGAGAGUCCUCUUAGCCCUUUCACAUGCAGUUCGCAACCGCCUAAGAGCUCUAGGGUUCCCAGAGAUAUCCUUCUUGUGCUUCCUCUUAAACUCUUGCACAAAGUGAUUAACCAUUCUGUUAUCAAAAUCCUCACCACCAAGAUGAGUAUCACCAGCUGUGGCCUUCACUUCAAAGAUACCCUCUUCGAUGGUAAGCAAUGAGACAUCGAACGUACCACCACCCAAAUCAAAGAUCAAUACAUUCUUCUCACCAGCACUGCUUGCCUUCUUAUCAAGACCAUAAGCAAUAGCAGCAGCAGUUGGCUCAUUGAUAAUACGCAUAACAUUAAGGCCAGCAAUAACCCCAGCAUCCUUGGUCGCUUGACGCUGAGAGUCAUUGAAAUAAGCAGGAACGGUCACAACUGCAUUCUUUAUUGUUAAUCCAAGAUAAGCCUCAGCAAUCUCCCGCAUUUUAAUUAGGACCAUAGAAGAAAUCUCCUCAGCAGAAAAUUGUUUCUCUUCACCCUUGUAUGCAACAACAAUCAUGGGCUUAUCACCAGGACCAGCAAUAACCUUAAAAGGCCAAAGCUUUAUGUCACUCUGUACAGAAGCAUCACUGUAUCUCCUACCAAUCAAACGCUUUGCAUCUGUAAACCAUACACAAUUAAACUGUUAAUAUAAUCCAACAACUUUAAUAUUCAAAACAACUUAAUUACACUGUUAAUGACCCAACAAGUUAAAUUCUCGACUUAUUUUUUAAAAUAUAUAACCAGAACAUUAAGAAGAAAAAAAAAAUUCAACUGGGAAUUAAUCACAGAACCCUUUCACUAGCAACAAAAUUACCAUUUCUUAAAUUUUAAACCUUUCUUUUUACGCACUCCAUAAAAAAUAAUAGAAAAUACCAGACUCCUAAACAAUUAUAUAAAACAAUUAGCAUAAAGCUUAAUUAAUAGUUACCCAAAUCUAACCAUACAAGACCUAACAAAAUCUGAAUAUUAAUGUACAAUCAAAUAUGCUCAUAAUCAUAACCAGACCAGGUUUUUAGUUAAAAUAAAAUUAAAAUUUUGCUGCAGGAAGAAGAGAGAGAGAGAGAGAGAGAGAGAGAGAGAGAGAGAGAGAGAUAAAGAGAGUUAAAGUAAUUACCAAAGACGGUGUUGACAGGGUUCAUGGCGACCUGAUUUUUAGCAGCGUCACCAAUUAAACGCUCCGUAUCAGUAAAAGCAACAUAAGAUGGCGUCGUUCUGUUCCCUUGAUCAUUAGCAAUGAUCUCCACUCUGUCAUGCUGCCAAACUCCGACGCAUGAGUACGUCGUCCCGAGAUCUAUCCCGAUCGCUGGUCCGUCUCCUUUUCCGGCCAUCUCUCAGAUCAAUUCAAACGCUCAGAAUUUUUCAGAAUAGAAAAGAAAAACAAUCAAAUUACAAAAGAAAAAUAGAGCUUCUUUGGUAGAAUAGACUAAGACAAUGAAGAAGAAAAAGGCUGUCCAUGCAUUUUAUAUUUGUGGUUUGGUUUGUGCUUCGAGAAUGUUCUUUUGAAUCUGAGCCGUUGAUUUUAAUUGUACGGAUGUCGAAAUGAGAUUUCCGUUUUUUCUCUGUUAGCUAAAGCGCGCGUAGAUUUGUAUUUUAAUUAUUUCUUUGGCUUCUGGUUGGUUCUCGAAUUUUCUUUCUUUUUUUCUUUUCUUUAGUGUUACGGUUUCUGACAGUUGGACGGCGAGGAGGGACAUCUCGUGCUGCGUCUCGGACACGGAUGCGAGUACGAAUAUACGCUUGUCCGCGGGUUGUGGGCUUUUUUUGGGCUGAGAUAGUUGAGGAAGAAGGUUGAGCUUGUCUAGGGAAGUUUAGAGCAGCCAAUGAAAAGUUGUAAUUCUAUUAUUUUGGUAUGUGUUCCAGAGUUACAGUUAAAGAACUGUUUUUAUUUAUCAAUGGGCAUCAGGAAUUAAUGAGUUCUUGUGCUAGAAAAUUGUAUAAGAAACAAAAUUAUUUAUUUAUUUAUCGGGUCUUGUUCCACGAAAAAUGGGGCUGGACAAUGCUUGUUGAGAAGAGGGGAUGUGUAUGGAACAGUGAAUUUAAAGGAUUCAUUAGCUCAAUAUCCAUCUCCUGGUGCACAUAGAUCAUAAUUCGUCGUAAUCCUCCCCAAUUCAUUUCGAUUGUGGGUCAUGAUGCAUUUGUUAGCAAAAAUGUGGAUUGUCGUCCACAUGCCAUUGGAAAAUAUAAUAGUUGGAAAAGGGGGGGCUUUUUCUUAAUUUAAGGUUUUCAAAAUAAAUAAUUCUUAUUUUAGAGUAAAUUUUAAAAAGUAUCCAGUUUUAGAGUGAUUUUAAGAGAGUCAAAAGAGAUUAAGAAAAGAAAGGUGUCCGCCUGAUGGUGAGGCAGACAGAUCUUUUCUCAGCCUGUCGAUAUCAAAACAAAUUUGAAAUUUUCAUUGUUGAAUAGUAAAGCCUAGCUGCAUGACGCACCUAUGCCUGUGGUACCCGUUACUGACAUCUAAAAAGAACCUUUCUUUCUUUCUUUCUUUCUUUUUCAUUUUAAUAAUUUAGAGAAAAACAGACAAUUUUUAUUAUAAAUUUAAAUUUUUGUGUUAAUAAUUCUUUUAACAAAUAAUUUACUUCUCGAUAUCUUUAAUAAAUAUAAAUAUUAUUAUAUUUCUAUUAUAUUAUUAAACAAUAUCUAAUAUAUACUAUCUUAUUUAAUUUAAUUUUAUACUAUAUACUUUAACCAUUUAUCUUAAAAAUUAGAGAUAAAUAAAAUAUUAGAAUUAAAAAGAUUAAUAAAAUUAACUACGAUUAAAAUAUAUUUAAAAUAAAAUAAAAAAUAUUUUAGUAGAAAAAUAUAAUAUACAAUUAAACAUAUCACUUAAAGUCUUUAUAAUAAUUAGAAUUAUUAAUUAUAUAAAGAAAAAAUUUUAAAUAAAUUUGAACACUUAAUUUCUAAUCCUGGAAAACCUAUUCCAAAAAACUCGUCAACUUUUUACAUAAUUGUUUUUUAAAUAUAGCCUUUGUCCAGUGGACAGAAGCUGUCCGCCGGUCCAACUGGAGGACAGAUUCUGUCCGCUGGUCCAACUAAUGAACAAAGCUCUCUCUCCACCUCGGCAAAAAUCAUCCAAAAUCAUUCUAAAUGGGAAAUCUUUUUUCACACUGCCCUAAAAAGAAAUUUUGUAAAAGUUCACUCUAAAAUAAUAGUAUUAUAUUUUUUAAUAUCCUAACUAGAGAAAUACCCCUGGAAAAAGGUUUAUACUUGGUGGUUAGCUUAUUGCCACAGCAUGGAUGUUCUUAGUUGAACCUUUUUUUUUUUUAUCAGGGUUCAGAAUGAAGCUUCGAGGACCAAGGCUCCUUGUUUUGGACUUAAGACCAACUUUCAGGGUAUAUAAGAAACCAAAAGUAUUAACAUUAGUUAAUUGGGAAAGGAAGUUUACCUUCUUUUCUGUUUUGCCAGCAAGAUUCAGUCCUUGUAUUGAAAAAAUUCUAGCAGAAUAUGUAAUACAAGGAUGCAACUUGAAGAUACUAAGAAACUAGUAAACUGGAUGAAAUGGCCUUCUUAUUCUUGGAAAUGAAACAGAAAUAGUGGAAUGAACAAAUUCUGGAAUGCAUGUAAAAUUCUCCUGACAGGAUUGCACAGAUAUCAAAUAAAACUUCUGUUCUACUCAAAAGAUCAUGACAAGAGCCUCCUGUCUCCAUUUUCAGACAUGGAUAGAUGGCGGGUGCCGGUUUCCAAUGGGAUUGGGUCCUGAUGGGGCCUUAUGAAUUAGUUCCUUGACAUGUGUUCCAGCUUUCUUCCAUCCCAAAAGAAAAUAGAAUAUAAAAAUCAGCAACUUCCAACAUUAACGGGAAUCAGCAACUUCAUCAAGUAAACUAGUACAAAUAAAUGUCAGGAUUCAGAUUCUGACACAAAGAAGAGAUUAUGUCACUCACCCUGGAAAACACAUAUUUUGUUGGGAAGCUUUUCCCCAAUUGUGCGUUUCCGAGCUUGGAAUCAACUACAGGAAGCGUGGAAAAACUGUGAGUUCAAUGAGUUAUAUGUCAAACACAAAUAGCAGAAGUACAGUAGCUUGCCUGAAUCUGCAUGUUGAACCAUUGUUGCAAGAUAGCAAUGACAUCGAGAAGCUAUGAAUAGUGCAACGAGGAAAUAAGCUAUAAUGUGCUUUCUCUUCAUUUCAGGCAUGAGCUUGUGCAAAGGUGCAUGUGAGCAAACAGAGAACAUUUAUAACUAAUCCUAUUUGAAAAAUUAAUUAUUGCUCAGUUUGAAUGAAUGAAUCCUAUUGCUGGGAAUCCAAUGCCUUUUGCAGAUUUGACCUGGUGAGGCUAGGAAUAUCGAUUUCUUGUCAUUAUAGGUUGACUUUUUUUCCCCCUGUUAUAAGUAACUCUAUAAUAAAGCCCUCAAUUCUUUUGUUCUCCCAGUGCCCAACCAAAAGUUUCUUGCAAUAGCUGUGCUAGACUGAUAUAUUGGGAUUUGCCUUCAGAAAUCGUACAUUACAGUGUAAAAAAAGACAUUUUUGAUGCACGGGGAUUUCCGAUUACUAAAUGUCCGAACAAGGUACAUUAGAAGUUGCAAUCUAUAGAAAGUGUCCGACUCUUUAAAAAGCUAAUUUAGUGUUUUGCGUCAGAUAAGUUUCGAAUACUGAAAAAAAAAAAAAAAAAAAUCACAUUUUCUCUAUGAAUAUUAUUGAUUUGCAACAUUAAUAAUGCCAAUAGUAUUAAAAUCCCAUUUCCAUUAGUGCAUGAUACAAUGUAAAUAGGCUAAUAUAGUGAUUAGAAAAUGCAGUGUUCUUUAAAUCGUUUAUCAUCAAGGGAAAAAAGAAGUCAUACCAGUGGGACACCACUUAUAAGAGUGGAAGACCUUAUCAGGGUAAUGAUUCUGUAUGCCUUAUUGGCCCCCUAAAGAGACAAUCUUAUAAUGAUACAAUUACCACUGUUGAUAAAGAUUUGUUUGUCUUUAUUUUUCUAGGUUUAUUAGGUGAUUGUUACAUUAUAAUAAAGUUGUCGAAUUGAUUAAUUAAAAGUAGUUUGGCUAUACUUUGGAUUCCUGUUAUGCUUGUGUUUUAGAUUGCUAUAAGAUUUGGAUUCUUCUUUAUUCAUUUACUCCCUGUCGAGUGAGUUCAUGAAUUUCAAUUUUAAUUAUUUUCUAAAUAAUUUAUGUUGGUACUAUAUAAUAUACAUAUUAAUUUCUAAUGUUUUUAAUUAUAAUACAUUCCAUUCUAAAUGACAAAUAUCAGCCUAAUCAGUGAAGACUGGCAAAAACUAUUUUUGUUUCACUUUGUAUCAAGGACAUAUGGUGGCUAACACUAGUGUUUAUCCUAAUAAACCUUUGAAAAAAGGAUCACUUCAGCCUCGAAGCAAAUAUUUUUACUUUUAUAGGGGAAUAUUGAUACAAAAUUACCCAUAAAUUUUAAUUUUUUUAAUUUUUUUAAUCGUUCAAUUUUAAUGGUAUUUCAAUCCAGUGAUUUUAUAAAUAAAAAAUUGACAUAUAAUAAAAAUAAUUAAAAGAAAAUAUAAUAUAACAGUUUUUAUUAAUAAAGUGAUUAAAUGUUAAAAUUCAAUAAUUAAAAAAAAUUAAAACUUCGUGACUAAAAUAUAUAAAGUAAACAAACGUUUCAUUAAAUAUAAUAUAUAUUUUAACAUAAAUAAGCAAUGGAAAUUUUUAAAAUAUAUAAAAAUAAUAAUUUAAUCGAUUCCUGUGACGAGCAAAUGCGACCCCAAAGAAACACCAGAAUACCACCACCGGCAGUGGCGGAGCUAGAGUGAGUGGAUCUAAGGUAGCCAUUGCCCUUAAAUGGGAUAAAUUUUAAAGAUAGGGCAAUAUAUGUUUAUAUUUAUUUUAAAAUUUGAUUUUGUUAUGAAGUUUUUGCCCCAACUUAAACUUAAACCCGACCCGCCACUCACCACAAGGCCAUACUGCUCUAGAACCUUGCUUCUUCUUUUUUUUUUUUCCGACACUUAAAACCUUACAUAUUGUCUUGCAGCUUCUUUUUGUAUCCUAAUAAGAGCUUAUUUUGAUUUGACAAAGUACAAUUGAAGAACACAACUGACUCUUCUCUCUUUAUAUAUAUCUCACCGCCUCAAAGUCGACCUUUAAAGAUUGUAAUUUGCACAUGAUUUUCAGCUUAUUCACACAGGUAUACGCAUGGGUCUCUCUCUGUUUAUUAUCUUUUCCAUUUUCUUUAUUUUCAUUUAUACUUUUUUUUUCUGCAAUACCCAAUGGUUUCUUUCGUUCAUUCAAUGCCUUCAUCUAUAGAUUUUAAGCUUAUUUUCAGGUAGGCUCUCUCUUGGUUCAUUCAAAAAGACUUCUGUUAUGUAUUUCUUUGACUUUUUUUCUUUUUCUAAAUCAUGUUAGUUUUUUAUUUUCUUUAAUUAAUAGAAUUAUAUUAUAUUUCAAAAAAAAUUAGUUAAAAUAUUGAUGAACACUGCUUAUUUAUGUCCAAAAAACAAAUAGUUUAGGAGUAAACAUUCUGCACGCCUAUCUUUAUAACUUUUCUGAAAAGCCAACAACAUGCGGGCAUUUGGUCUAGUGGCAUGAUUCUCGCUUAGGGUGCGAGAGGUCCCGAGUUCAAUUCUCGGAAUGCCCCAAUUAAUUUAUUUUCAGAUUUGAAUUUAUAUUACCAUUUUGAGCCUUUCUAUACCAACAACUCGUAUGCAAGCCACUCCUAUUUAUAAAAGCCCAUCCAAAGCCGAAAAGGAAAUUGAGGGUGCAAAUGGACGUUAUUUUAUAAGAUAAAAUAAGAUAUUACUUCUCGAAUUUCACAAUGUCUAAAUCAUGCAACUACGCCAUUUGACAUUUGCACCGCCGUUUCGAGACUUCCUAAGAAAACACUCGCAACAUCAAUUCAUUAGCAAGAAUUCUUUUGGUACGAGGUAGUUUAAUAAGCUUAAAUUGAAAAAAAUGUUAAAAAUAUUUUAGCUAAUGUAUGGAUACGGUUACCGUUGCCGGUAGCAUUCAAAUAAUGUCUUUUGAUUUUACCUGCUUUAGCCUGUACUUUAUAAAUUGCUUCGGCAUAAAAUAAGAAACGGUCUCUCUAAUGCAUAAAUGGUUGAGAGUUCAUAUUCUUAUCAUCUUUGAUAAAAUCAAGUCCACCGCGUUUAGAAUUUAACAAUAUUCUUUUUAGUAUGAAUUCAUCAUAUUAUUAUCAUCCUAUCCAAUUGAGUAAAAUUUUAAUAGAUAUAUACAAAUUAAAUAUAAGUUAUUUAUCGCUGUCGCCGCGUCUAUCUCUUUUAUGAAAAGAUACAUGCAAACUUAAUUUGAUCACAAACAUACAAUUCCUAAGAACCCAACAUCAAUGGUUCAAUUGGUUGGUGGCAUUUCUUCGAUGGAUGAAAUAAAGAUGGAGGAGGAGUCUUGUGCAUGGCAGAGAACAUUGAGAGUCAUGAUUUAGAACAUAUCCUUUUAAUAUGGUACCCAUGUGAGAUGAGCAAAGCCCAUAUAUAAUGAGGAAUAAAGUGAUUUUCUUUUCUACCUUUGAAAUCAAUACUCUAUAAGAAGAAAGGAUGAUGAUAACAAUCAUGUCAAAUCUUCAAACAAAAAUAAAUUAAUAAUAAAGUUGGUGCUCAUAUGAAAUACAGGAGCAUAGUUAGCCACUUUCUGCGGUAGAUAUCCAAAUUCCGGUUGAAAGGACAUUUGAUAUUUUCUAUUAAGGCAUACUCACCAAUACCACCAUUUUUUUUCUUUUUAUCAAACUUUAUGGUUAUUUUUGUACUUUUCUUUAAUAGUUAGCUUAGUGAAGUUUAAAUUUUAGUUUAUAUUUCUAAUAUGAUUAAAUUUUAUUAUCGAAUUAAGCAUUUUUUAAAAUUACAUGUAUAUUUUGUUAGUCCAUAACUAAAUAUAAGUUAGUUGAAGUUUAAUUAUUGAAAAAUAAAAUUAUAAAUACUCUUAUUAACCUUUGAAAGAAUAAAUGGGAAAGUGAAAAGGGUGUAUGUUAUUAAGGAGUAAGUAAAUUUCUAGAGGAAGAAGUAGGAAGCAUAUAAGGUAGAGAUAUUGUGCCCACUUAAUUCAUUGGAUCAAAGAUAUAAUGUUUGCUCAAACAAUAGUUAUUAUUAUUAUAAAAUAUUCAUCUAUGGAAAUAUAUUCCUUUUCUUUUAUAUAUAGCCGUCGUACAUGGACAAUUAUUGUGGGAAUAUUAAUGGUAGACCUUACCACCAUACGUUUUUUUUUUUUUGUAUAUUUUUCUUCACCUUUAUUGUAUGCCAAGCUUGCUUUAUUUCUUAAUACACUAUUUUGAUGAUCUCUUAAUUAUUGAUUGUCACUAAUUAAAAAAAUAAGUAUAAAAAGAUGAUCAUAUGUUUUAUCAUUUUGCAUGUAAUUUAUAUCGGAUAAAGAGGUAUUUGGUUACAAAUUGUAAUAAAAAAAUCACUGUUAAAUUUUUUUGAUUUAUAACGAUUCAACCAAUUUCACUCUGAUUAACUAUCAUUAUCUUAUUAUUUAUUUUUAAAAACAUGAUAAGUUUGGAGCUUAUUAACUCAUGACUCUAUUAUUUAAAUGUUGAAUCGUGGUUUAAGAAGUUAUUGAUCUGAAGAUAUCGGUUUAACGGUCAAACAAUGGCGUUUUGAGCUGUUAAGGUCUAACUCAUAUUAUUAAAUAUAAUAAUGAUGGUUGAUCAGAGCGAAAAUAAUUAAAUUCUUACUAAUCUACGAUUUAUAAUAGUGAACUACUUUUUUUGUCACAAUUUUUAACUACAUAUUUUUUGUAUAAAAAAUACCACGUAUUAAAAAUUGUCAAAUAAUAAAAUCACAUUGUAUUUUAUUGUACUUAUCCUUUAAUUAAAUCGCAUAGUGAAAAAAAAAAAUUCACAUUCGUUACAGAAAUAAGAACUCACCCAAUAUAAAGGAAGAAACUUAAAUUUACCACUUUUCUUUCAUUGAUAAAUCACCUGGCUAGAUGGAUGAACACUUAACACAAUGAUCCUUAAAGAUACUAUAUAUAGAGAGAGGUGGAUUUUCUGAAUCCAUUCCAAUACUUAAAUCAGAAAUUUAGAGAACGAAUAAAAAAAUGUAAGAUACCAAUGAUGGAGGCAAAGCCCCCUUAUACAGCAACUUGGCUGGUCCAUUUCCGCAUAAAAAUAAGAUUUUUCCCCUUCCUUGCAGGAUGUGAAUCUCUUAACUAAACUCUACUUCAUAUCAUGUUUACAUUUAUCCUGUAUUUUUUGGAUUUUUACAGGUUCUUAUUCAAGUAUGACAAGGACUAGAAGAGCUGCCACUCAAGCAUAUUGUUCGGACUGCCUCUUCAACUUAAAAAUUCCUAUCCAAAUGUAGUUUGGAUGAUCAACUGUCAUUAAUCCGAAUUGCUCGGAUUUUCUCGCCCUAUUCAAAUUAGUAUAUCAACUUACGAAUUUUAUAUAUAGUUAUCAAAAACCAAAUACUUUUAUUACUCGCAUGUAAUAAUUCAUAGUAAUUUCCUUUGCUUACGCAUAAUACAAAGUUUAUUAUAAUCUCAAUUUUGUUAAAACCAAAUCAUUUGAUUGUACUAGAGAAUUUAAAGAAAAAUGACAACCAUGGAGUUUAGCCAACCUAAGAACUACACUAGCCAUUACCAAAUAUAAUAAACUGAUCAGUCCAAAUUAUGUUAGAUAUUUAAGGGUAUUUUAAAGUUUUAAUGAUAUAUUUCUAUAUAUAAUAUGGUGAAACUAUAUGCUUUUACCUCACUUAAACUUAAUUGUCUAUUUUCAGAAAUAUUAGUAAAAAUAGAAAAAUAUGGAGCUAAAAGAAGCUUAAUGGGACAUGUUCGUAUCAAGGCCCAAGAUUAAGACGCAUGGACUGCUAAUUACAAGGCCCAAGAUUAAUUUUAGUCAUUUUAUAUAAUUAUUAGGAUUUAUAUUAAGAGUUAUUUAUGUGAUAGUAUUUGGUGGAGAUUAAGAUACUUUAAAUCUUAUCUAUUAGAUAGACUAAUAUUAGUAUACUUAUCUCUAGAGAGAUUUAUUUAGAGGAUGAUUCUUCUCUAUAUAUAUCUCUACAAAAACCUAAAAAAAAGAAAAAAGGAAAAAAGAAGAAGGAAGAAGGAAGGAAGAAAGAAAAAAGAGAAUUUUCUCCAACCUGCUCUCUACAUCUGCCAUCAUUAUUUUUUCCAUAAUUCUUUACAGUUCUUCAUAAACAUUUAGUUUUAGUUUUCAUUACUCUUUUUAGGAUCUAAGUAGCUUUUCAAGAAGUGGAGACUGAAAACUAAUAUUCUUUCUACUUGAAGAAAUUCUGGAUCUAAAGAAAGCUUUUUACUUUUUUAUAUCUUUCUAUUUAAUACUAUGAUCAUUGGGUUAAAUAUGUUAGGCUAGUUUUCAUAAGUGUUUAGUUUAUUCUUUUUACUUUUGUAUGAACUUUGUUAUUUAUUUAUUUAAUGAAUGAUUUCUUUACCUUUAUAUCUUUAUUAGUUUUAGUUAUUAUUGUUGGUUAACCAUCAUAUUAAUUUAACAAUAGUAAUUGUUAUGAAAAUCUUUAGGUUUAAAAAUAUUAGAAAUAUUAUCUUUAGUUUAAUCUAUGUUGGUAUAAGAAACCUAAGUUGCAUUAUUGGCUUGAGUGACUUAGGAAAAAAAACACAUUACCAUCUCAUUCAUUAAAUAUAGUCUUAAAAUAAGAUAAGGAGAUUACUAAGUAAAUGGCUAGACUAAAUACUGUUUUUAGCAUAUAGUUUUAGAUCAUAAGCAUUUGCAUUUGUAUUGCAUAUUUAUUUAUUGUUUAAGUUACUUUACUUUAUGAAUAUUUUCCUUUCAACAUACUGAUUUAGAAUGUUUAAAUUUACUUUUAUUGUUUUGUGUUGAUAAUUAGUUUUAUAGUAAGUGGCAUCAUAGUUCCUUGAGAGAGAUCGACCUCGUGGUGAAUUUACUAUUAUUAUAGAAACAAUUAGUGUAUUUGCGAGUAAUGAAAAAGAUACGGCAUAAACCUAAAAGGCUAAUCCAAAUUUCAUCGAAAUCAAGUGAAGCAAUAAUUAUUUUGUUGUGAGCAUUUGAAAUGUGAUCUCAUAAUUGUUUUCAAGUACAACAUUUUGACUAAAAAAUAGGAAUCUGCCGAGUCAGCCACUCACAAUAAAAGCAAAAUGUUAUACUGAUGCUGGCCAGAAAGCAAAGCAACGAGCUCUAUAAUUAUGGCGCAAUGGGGGCGGAAAUUGACUUAAAAGGCAUUUUCACAGUUUUUGUCCGACCCAUUUUUAAUAAUUUUUAGACUUAACUUAGUGAAAUUACUCGUAUUUCUACGUAUUAUUAUUUUAAUUAUAAAUAUUUUUAAUUUAAAAGUUUCAAUCUAACUUUUUAGUCAAAAAUAUUUAAAAAUUAUAUUAUUAUUUUAUUAAAAAUAUAACAUAUCAAUUAAAAUAUUAAUAUAAUUUACUCAAAUAAAAAAAUAAAUUUUCAAAACACAAAACUUACAAAUUAAUAUGACACUUAUAUGAUAAUAAAAGUACAAAUAUCAGGAUUUUUUUUUUUAUUUGUUAAAACUUAUAGGCAUUUUUUGGAUUGAGGUUUUAACAGUCAUAGAUUUAUUAAAUUUAUUAAAAUAAUAACUUGUUUAUUAUAUACAUAUAAUUAAUAAAAUAUAAAGACAAAUUGAAAAUUAAAUAAUUGGAUAGAAUUCCUUAUACAUUAAAAUGAGGAAUUUGAAAAAGGUGGGUUUUGUAGAGUUCAUUAUUUUUAAUGGAUUUUCAUAAAUAAUGAAUUUAAAAAAAUUCAUUAGAUUUUGUCCAUUUUUUCAUAUUUAAAUGAAGGAUUCUAUCAAAGUUGUACAAAAUCUAACAUCCAAAUCCCUCAAACCAAACUUUGAUGCGACGUUUGUUACUUUUUUAGUCAAAUUCUUUUAUAUAAGCUUUAAGCUGGCAUCUUGACUAGAUUUUGACAAAUUCUAUUAAGUAUAUUAUUUUCAAAUAUUUAGAUUUUUUUUUUACUCUAUUUUAACUAUGGUUAAAUUGGAAUUAUAUUAAAUUUUUCUAUAUAUAUAUAAAAUAUAGAUUAAUUAUUAAAGAAAUUUUAAAAUGAUAUAUUUUUUUAAUAUACUUUUCGUUGUAUUCAUUAUUUAAAAUUAAUAACAGAGUUUUGAUAUUAUCGUUCUUGUAAAGUUUUCAAUAUUACUUACCAAUAAAUUUUCUAAAUUUUUAUUAGUAUCAUAUUUUACUUAAAAAAACCGUAAGUAAUCUAAAUUUUCAUAUUCAUUUUAGAAUUUUUUUAAUAUCAUAUGACUAUAUGACAUCAUAUAAACUUUUAAAGAUAGUAUUAUUAAAUAUUAAAUUACUUAGUUACAUAUAAUAUAUAAUUAUCGAUCAAUUCAAUACAUUAUUUUUAUUUAUUAAAUUUUUUAUUUAUUUUUAAAAUUUAAUCAGUAAUAUAUAUAAUUAUAAAAUUUAUUUAUAUAUUUUGAUUAUAUAAAUAAUUAAAAAUUAUAUAUAAAUCUAUAGAUAAUUAAAUUAGUAAAAAAAAUAAAGUUGAUAAAUUAUUUAAAAUAAUAUUGCUUAAUUAUCUAUAAUUAAAAAAUAAAUUUUCUAAUAAUAGAGUACUGUGAUGAUAAUCCUUCAUUUUAACCAAAACUUUUUUUUCUUUUCCUAGUUGAAUUGGUUUGGUUUCUAAGUUUGGUACUUAUAGUGUCUUUUCUAAGUGUUGUUUAAUUAAAUCAUAUACAAAUACUUUUUUUUAAAAUAAGAAAUUCAACUUUGGCUCCAUAUAUGCACAUGAACCCCUGAUUUUGAGAGAGAGAAAAGGAAAAGAACAUAAGAAAGUCCCAAACAGAACUUAAAAUUCCCUUUGGCAUUCUCUUUCUCUAUAAAUACCAAAACAAAUUUGUUUUCUAUUAUAUUAUACAAUAAAGUCUAAUACAACACAGUCUCUUCUAAUAAGCUUUCCCUCCCUUCUCUUGCGGUCUCUCUCUUUGUAUAAUCAGUAGCUAAAGCUAAUCAAUUAAUGGCCUCUUCUCAAGCCAGUCUCCUCCUACAAAAGCAGCUCAGAGGUCAACAAAACCCACGAAAUUUCUGUUUUCUUGUUUUUUGGCUUCUUUUUUCAAUUGGGUUUUUGCUUCUUUUACCAAAGUUUUGAUCUUUAUUCAUUAAAGGAUUGUUUUUUAAAUGAUUCUUGCAGAUCUCUGUAAAAACCCAGUUGAUGGAUUCUCUGCUGGUUUGGUCGAUGAGAACAAUGUGUUUGAAUGGAGUGUUUCAAUUAUGGGACCCCCUGAUACCUUAUAGUAAGCACUCUUAAGUUGUUCUUAUUUCUUUUUAAUUCUUUAUAUGAAUUUAAAGAUUUGAUCUUUUCUCAAUUUUGUAACUGUUGUUUGUUAGAUUCUCUGAUUUUGAUGCUGGUUUCUAGUCUCUUUCGGAUGUAUGUGAGUUUGUGCUUUGUUGUUUUUUGUUUUAUUAUUGAAUUUUAAUGUGGCUGAUUGAUUUUCUUUCAAGGUUUAUGGGGUUUUAUUUUUAUGUGAUUAGAUUCAAGUUACGGUGGUUUUGGGGGUAACUAUUGUUAAAAGUUUCAAUCUUUUCGUUAAGAUUCUUUCUGAUGAUCAUUGAUAACGUAAGGCUGACGGAACCGCACUUGUCUGUUUACGAGAAUGUAUAGAACACAUCCGAGCUUCAAGAGAUGUAGUCCAGCAUGUUAUAUAUGGAUAACUACAUUCAGAUCUUGAUGGUCUCCAAAUUGGUUGCCUAAUAUGUUUAUUAUGAAGGGUGAGGUCACAUUGUUUACUGACAAUCAACUCCCUUGUUGCAGCGAAGGGGGGUUCUUUAAUGCCAUCAUGACCUUCCCGCAGAACUAUCCCAACAGUCCUCCUACUGUGAGGUUCACUUCAGAGUUAUGGCAUCCUAAUGGUGAGCACUUUGGCUUUUAACAGUUCCUAUUCAAAUUGCAUUUAUAUUUGUAGUAUGUGCUUCUGCAUCCAUGCAUUACUUGUAAGAGUUUGUAUUUGAGAUUGGAAAAUUUCUAAAGGCUGCCAUCUUUGAACAGUUUAUGCAGAUGGAAAGGUUUGUAUAUCAAUUCUCCAUCCACCUGGUGACGACCCAAAUGGUUAUGAGCUGGCAACUGAGCGUUGGAGCCCGGUCCAUACUGUAUGUGUGCUAUUAUCUUUGUUAUUUCCUGUAUAUAUCAUGUUUAUUUUUCUAUUGCGAUAAAUCCCUUGUCAUUUUUUUCGCUCUGCUUCUGUUUUUGCCUAUUAACUACAGGGUUAAAUAUUUAUACAUGAGUGUUUGUGCUCUUUGUUUGUACAUGUUUGUGCUCACUGUGAAUGUGAAAAAGCCACAUGGUAAAUAUGGUGUUUUGCUCUCAUGGUAUAUGUGAAACAUGUUAUUUUCCACUCCGAUGCAACAUCUAACCAUUGGUAAGCUGGAACUAUUUUGAGAAGCCGUCUUGUUUUGAAUCAUUGCUUCACUGUGAGGAUGUGUGCCAGAAGAGAUGCAUAUGGUAACUCUUUGCAUUUGCACAUAUUUUAAUCAACUUUCUGGCAUGAACAUCUGAUGGCUGUUCUGAUUGGCAGUGCAUCUUGAUGAUGGGCAACUGUAAGGACAGACACUUGAAAUGGCUGCAGGACUUAACUGCACCAGCUGUAAGGGUUUGAUUGUAACCCAGAUUGAGAUGCUUUUUUCUGAGCCCUAGCACAAUAGUUUACAAGAGACUGCUUGGGUUGGGGAUGCUUACUAUCAUAUAGCUCUUGGAUGUGUGGAAAACUAAAGCAGCCAAUAUGUGAAGGAAGUCAAAAAUUGCAGUCCCAUGUUGAUAUGGUAAAUGAAAGUGAAUUUUAUAACUCAGUGACCUUUAUUUCCUUAGCUGAAGGGAGAAGCCAAUGAAAGUGAGGAUAUCAGAAAAGAACUUUUAGAAACAGCAUGGGGAGGAUAGUCAGAAUGUUGUAAUACAUGUGGUAAUUGUUGAUUUUAAGAACACUGUUGACAACAUGAACCUUUUCAGGUGCAAAAAUAAAUAAUUUGAUGGUGUAUAUUUUCCUGAAAAGUGCAUUCAACAUCACAACCAAAGGAUGGCUACAAAAAAGAUUCUCAAGUAGUAGUGAAAUGAAGGAACUAUUGGAAAACUCAAAUGACUGGCAGAAGAAAUAUGCUUUUGUCAUGUUUGCAUGCGAGAGGAAUUUAGAGAAGGAUUGCAAUUUUCAUAAUCAUGCAUUAGACAUAUAUUGAGUGUAUUGUUUUAUUUUGUUGAUGCAUGUGUUUGACCUGAAUACAACUCCUUACUGGACAAAGCUUCUCAUUUUUAUUUUUCUUGUCUGAAUCAUCAGACAUGUUUUAUUUAAAUAUUUGGAUAAUUCUAUUUUUGCCUUUUUCUGUGUAAUUUAUUUUGACUUGUUGCUAUGCACUCUCUUGUUACUGAUAAUAUUUAACUUUACGAUUGCAUUUUGCAGGUUGAAAGCAUUGUUUUGAGCAUCAUAUCAAUGCUUUCUAGUCCUAACGAUGAGUCUCCUGCCAAUGUUGACGCUGCGGUAUGUCUAGUAUAUCAUUUAUUUUGGUUAAAUAUCCUACUUCCCAAUUCUUUUGGGGCUUGCUCUUUUUCUAGGAAGUGACGGGUCAAUUUGAAACUCUAUGACUUCAGAAGAUGUCUUUAAUUCUUUAAAUACUUUAGGAUCUAACUGGAUUAUUGACAAUAUGGAGUACAUAGAUCUUAAGCUUAUAAUUUAGGUUACAACACUAUUUAGAUUCAACUGAAUGGUAUUGGAUCUUUUAGUAGUAAAAUGAACAUUGGUACAGUAUUAUUGUUGUUGUCUCCUGCCAUUGCUAACCAACUGCUGCUGAACCUCCAAUGUUUUUGAAUCACGGUCCACCAUUGGUCUGACCAUCAUCCCGGCCAAUGAACGAGCACUAUCAUUGUUGCGACUGGCUAACUUCUACGACUGCCACUACCAUUUAACCAUCACCAUUAAUAUUUCACCACCAACAGGGUGAACCAUCAUUGCACUGCCUUGGCAACAACACCUAAAUGAGUUGAUAACUUGCAAAUUCUAGAGGGACAUACUUUUGAAGAAUUCUCAGAAUAGGGUUGCAUUUUGUUCAUGUUCCAAUCAAUUUCUUAUCUUUGCCAUGUUACAGUAGCUUUUUCUGCAUCUUUUUUAUGUCCCAUCGCGUUGCAUGUUUGCACGUAUCAGUGUUGUUUAUUUUACAAAAGAACAAUUAAUCUCUUACAUUCUUCUGCCCAAUUUUAACAUCUUCUGGAUUGUAUGUCUAUAGAAACAAUGGAGAGACAGUAAGGAGGAGUUCAGGAAGAGAGUGGGUCGAUGUGUGAGAAAAUCACAAGAAAUGUUGUGAUCCAACAUAAUACACUUGCUGCAUGCUACUGAAAUCUUUAAUCAAGAGAAGGGAAUGGAGGACAUCAAAACAUAUAGUGAACCUUGUAACAUUCUAUAUAAUUUUCGUUAUUUAUCCUUUUUGUGCAUCUUUUGAGUGAUAAUUAUUAGUAUGAACUUGAAUUGCUUUCUCCAAAUCUCAGAAGUUUUAUUUUCUUUAAAUGAAUUGCAAUAAUAGUAUUCUUCUUCAGUUCAUCUUUUCUUAACUAAAGACACACACUCCCUCUCUCUCUCUCUCUCUCUCUCUCUCUCUCUCUAUAUAUAUAUAUAUAUAUAUAUAUAUAUAUAUAUAUAUAUAUACCUCGCGCCCAUGAAUAUCAAUUAUUUGAUUCGUUUUACUUAAAAAAUAAAAUAAUUUAUAUUUCUAAAUUUAACUUCAUAAAUUUUUUUAGUGUUAAAAUAAUCACAAAAUUGUUUUCUAUAGUAAAUUCAUUUUAUACUAAUUAUUUGUAUAACUAUCAAUAAAUAAAUUUAAUAUAUUGUUAAAAAAAUCAAGAUUGAUAUAUGCUGUAAAAGUAAAUUAAUGUAAUUAAAUAAUUAUAUAAUUUAUAAUAAUUAUAUUUAGCCAAUACUUUUAGUAUGAUCUUUUUUCUUAUUUCAAAAAAUUAUAGAAGUAAAUUUCUUAAUUCUAAUAUUAUAUGUAGGCUAAGAUAUUUAAAAAUAUAUUUAAACCAUUACCCAGUUUAGAAUAAGUAAAGUACAAAAAUUAUUCAAAUUAUUAUAAGAAUUUUGUAAAUUUUUUAUAUUUAAAUCAUUGUCAAUUAUUUUUAAAUUAUUGUUACAUUUUAAUGAUGAGUUAAUUAUUUAUUAUUUUAAAUAAUAUGUAUUAUCCAAGUACUAUUGAAUAAAUAAAUUUUAAUUGUAAUUUUAUUUUAAAUUUAAAUAUUUUUAUUAUUUAUCAUUAUAAAAUUAAUUAGAUAAAUAAAUAAUUUUUUAUUCAAGUGCGAUACACAUAAAUAUUAAUAAUUUAACUUAUUAAUGCUCUCUUGUAUUAGCCUAAUUCUAAUAUAGGUGUUAUAUUUUCUUUAUUAAGAUCCAACUAAAGAUAAUAAAUAUAUUUUAUAAUUUUUUUGUUAUAACUUAAAUUCUAUUUUAAAGGACUUAUAUGUUCCUUUUUUUAAGAAUAUAUUUCAUUAGUAAAUUUAAUAGAAUUAUAUAAGAUUUAACUAAAAUAUUACUAAUUAUAUAAAUAUAUAUAAUUUAGUAAGUGAAAUUUAUUAUUCAUUAUUAUUGAUAAAAUAAAAUGUAAUUAUUGUUAAAAUUUAAAAUCUUAUAAAAGUUUGAUAUAGUCCUUAGACUAUAAUUUUGAUCUACAUUUCACUUUUUUUUAAAUAAAUUGACAUAUUUAUUUUAUUUAUAAAUCUGUUUAUUGAGUUAAAAGCUUAUCAAAUUUAGAAUUAUAAACACUUUUAAUAUUAAAAAGUGAAAAUUUCCUUCAAAUUAUAAUCCAUUUAUUUAGAUUUUAGAUUAUUUUUACAAAUAAAAGAAUCUAUUCAUUAUUAAUAAAAAUAAAUUUUCUUAAUUUAAUAACAAAUAAACCUGUCAUAAUUUUUAAAUUACUGUCAAUUCUUUUAUGAUUUAUGAUCAUGAAAAUUGAUUGUUUUAUAUCUACAACAAACAAUCCUUUUAUUUAACAUCAUAAUGAAGAGUCUCGUUAUAAAUAUUUGACCAGUAAUAUAUUAUAAAUUUACUCAACAUUUGUUAUUUAUACUUUUUAUUAGAGUCAGCAAACUUUUAAAUAGAUUAGAUAUUUAUGAUAAAUUUUAUAAAUUUCUAAAUAUGUUCAUACCUAAUAUAUAACUUUUUUUAUUAAUUUAUAUAUGGAAUUAUAUUAUAGAAUUAUCUAAUUUAAUAUUAAAACGGAUUGGAUAUUUAAUUAAUAAAAAGUAAAAAAGAAAAAAAAAAGAAAAAGAAAUAAGUCAGCAAGUGUUGUUAAGUCGUCCAAUUAGUGAACCGGUGCUUACGGAGCUGAAAGAACCCGUCUUCCCCAAUUUGGAGCUUUUGUUCUAGGGUUAGACAUGCUCCAUACGAACCUAAAUAUAUUAAGAUUUUCAGAUGAUUUCAACUAACUCAAAAUUACAUCCUUUCACGGAUUCAGGAUUACAGACCAAUCAUCAAAAUUCCAGACCCUGUAAACUGCCAAAAUCUCUCCCCUUUUUGUGUAAACUUCAAAUUGCUUCUAUGUUACACCAUGAACCCAAGAGCAUUUGUAAUACGCAAUUGGGAGCCAUCUGACCUCAAUACUCAUCUACAUCUCUGAAGUGUUUUAUUUUUUACUUUUUUUAUUAAUAAAAUAUUCAAUCAGCAAAAACCACAACAAAAGGUUACCGGAUUAUAUUAAAAAAAAAAAAUCAAACUUGGUGCUUUUUAAGAAAAAAUUAUAAGUAUUGAUUUAUAAUUGUUAAAACCUCCAAAAUUGGAAAAUUUAUAAGUAAUUAGCCCCUCAUUUUUAAGCUUAUUAUUAAUUCCCGUAAAAAACUAAAGGAUUUUCGUGGUUAAUUUCAGCCUCCCAGAGGUACUCUCAUGAAGCUUAAUAGAGUCAAAAUCAAAGCUCAUACAUCAUAGCAUACAAGAAAUCGUUAAAACAUGAACACAUACAAAUAUAUAUAUAUAUAUAUAUAUAUAUAUAUAUAUAUAUAUAUAUAUAUAUAUAUAUAUAUAUAUAUGUGCUCUUGAGUAUUUGAUUAUUUAAUUGAAAACUAAGAUGGAUACAAUAGUAAUUUAACAUUUGUGAGUAUGAUUAGAGAUGUAAUUAAGCUGAGCUGAUCUCUUAUCAGCUUGGGUUGGUACAUUUAUUAUUCAACCUUCGUUUUAUAUUACAAAACUUAAUUUAAAUGAGCUUAAUCAAGUUUAUAUAUUAUAAAUUAAAUUUUUUUAAAUAAAAAUUCAAUAUAUUAAUUGAUAUUUGUGAUUUUAUUUUAAUAACUAAAUUUAAAUGAAUGUUUUUAUAUUUAUAAUAAGUAAAAAUAAAAAAAUUACAAGUAAGAAUAUUAAAAUAUUAGCAUUAUAUUUUACGAGCCGAUUUAGGAGCUAAUCAAUCAAAAUAGCUUGGCUAAUUAAAAUAAGAAGAAUCGAAACCAAAUUUCAAACAGCUGAGGAGAAGUGUGAUUGAUUGAUUCAUUUAUGAGAAACAUGUCUCAAUCAAUCAUGGCCACAAUUAGGUCAAAUUUACUUAAUCUUGUGUUAGGAAAGUCCUACCAUCCCAGCUGGAGUAUGAUUUUGCGUAUUUUUUUUGUUGAAUGACUACUGCCUUACAAAAACAUGAUUGACAACAGGUGAAAAUUUGCACCAAAUCAUCUGCUAUGGAAAAUCAACUCCAACUCACAAUCCCCACCCCAAAGAUCAGUGCAUUAUCCUCCUUGAGUCACAGGGACAUUUUAUAAUCAAUUUUGAUGCGGCUAGACAGUAACGGAUUGCUAGAGGGCAGUUCUGGUCGUACCUUACCCAGCCUUUCCUCUCCUUUUAACAUUUUUCUUGAUAUUAAUAUUUCUAAAAGAUAAUAUAGAACGCACCGAACAGAAUUUUUUAAAUGAUAAAAUAUUUUUUAAAAAAUUUUAACACAGCUGAAUUAGCUCAUGAUAUAUUAUUUUUUUCAUGUAAAAAGGAUGAAGAUACCUUGAUGGCUGUCUAAAUUUGCUGGCAAGGAAACACCCAUCAGUCAUGACAAUCUAUGCGGACAUUUUCGACAUGGUCGUUUCUGCCUACGACUAUGUCUCUUUCUUUCUUUCUUUCUUUUUAUGUUUCUCGUGUAAAUCAUUAACGUUUUUUUAGCUCGUAACCUUGCAAAUGCUGUAUUUUCCCCUUAAAUAUUAUAAAAACUCGGUUAUAAAAAAAAAAAAAAAAAGUGACCCAAAAUGAAAAGAAACAGAAAAGUAAAGUGGGGCGCCGGGCCCCUUAUAUAGUAAACGUUUUUCUAUAGCAAAGGGAAAACUCGUGAAAAAGACAGCUUUUGAAAAAAAAAAAAAAAACAAUAGUAAUCUGUAAGGAGACAAGAAGCCACUAAAAGAACAUAUGCCCAUUACUAACCCCAGUCACAACCCCAUACUGCGUGACUUAACCUCAACUCCUUUCCCACUAAAUAGAUUUGCUGUCUUCUUUUUUUCUCUAAAGGAAAAGAUCAACAAAAGCAAGAAAAAGAAGAAGAAAAGAAACCCCUAAUUUUUAUUUAAUAAUAAAAAAUAAUUGUAAGUACUCUUUAAGAGUUCUUCCAUUACGCAUUUUUUAUUUUUUUUUCUUUGAAAAAAAGUACACUUUCGUUUCUUAUAUAGAUUAACAUUUAUGAAAGCAUAAGUAGAAUGUAAAAUGACUAAAAAAAGUAAUUUGUUUAGCUGUAGACACUAUUUCAGUUGCUCAAAAUUAUUUUAUAAAGCAACUCAGUCCCUAAUUUUUUUAGUUUCAAAUAAAAUAUUCCGUAAUAUUGGUAUUUUAACCAAAUAAACUAAUAGAGCAUUAAUAAAAAAAAAAACAAUUCGGAACAAAACAUAAAAUUAUGUGACAAAAGUAUAUAUUUUUAAAAAGAUUAAUACAAAUGUAGAAUAAAGUAAACCUCAAAAGAAACAUUCCUGAAUUAUACCAUAAAUAAAUUUCCAUACUAUUCAUUUUUUAUUAAUUUUUUUUUUUUAAAUUAUGCUACAUUUUCAGUAAUUUUGUUAAAGCAUUUUAAUUGUCUCAUGCGAUGCAACAAACCUCUAUUAAUUAUACUUUAAUGUUUGACACUUAAAAUUCAUAAAAAGUAUAUAAAUUCUUUAUAGGUAAAACAAUUUCCCUUGGUAACUAAAAACAUAGAAAUUUAAAUUCUAUGGUUCCAAUUUGUUUGGUUAAAUGAGUUUAAAGUCUGAAAAGAGAGAAAAUAAAAUAUAUCUUUCCUUCUACUAAUUUUUGGGCAGCUAAAGGAGGGGCUACUGAGUAUAGGUUAGCCUUUUGGCUGGCAGAAAGAUAGCUGUUAAAAGGUUUUCGGUGGAAUGCUGAAGAUGGGAGGAGACGUUAAAAUCCAUUCUGUGCAACUCUGUGAAUGAUUAAAAAAACAAAAAAAGAAGAAGAAAUUAAUGGGUUGAUCUAAUUCUUACCAACCAUCAGAUGGAACGAUGCUGUUUUGCAAAAAUCUAUGCUCAUCAUGAGUGGAGGUUGAAACCAUCAAACAUAUCCCUCCUUUUGUCCUCCUCCUGUCCUGACUGUCCAGGUUGCAAUUUGAAGGGAAAGGGAAAGGAUUGAUCAUUUUGGUAAUGGGUUCUUGAAGUUCAAAAGAUAGAACUCAGUUUGCUCUUCCAAAAAAAUUCUAUCCUUUUUGUUUGGAGGCUUUUUCACAAUGGUAUUGCUAGUAGAAAAGUUUAUGGAACAUAUGAGUUGCAAUUCUAUUGAUUUCCAUAUCCAUCUUUAAUGAGAUUGGCUGAGGAUAUUAAAUACCCACUUUUUUUUUAUCAAGUUUUAUAUUUAUUUUGGCUGGUUUGUGUAUUAUCCUUAACCAUUCAUUAUUCCAUUUUUCUUUUUUAAGAAAAAAAAAAAAAAACUAUGUUUUGGAUUUAAUUUGUAAAGUUUAUUUAUUUUGUUUAAGCAAUUUUUAUUUUUAAAAAGAAAUGCAGACACUUGAUGGAGGCGCGUGAGGAUAACAUUAGGAUAAAAAGUAAAGUAAAAGAAAGAAAAAGGAGAAGUAUUAUUAUUAUUUUCUUAUUUUGAAAUUAGAAACCACAAGUUAUUUAAAAGAAAAAAGUAAAAAUAAAAAAGAGAAAGAAAGACAAAAGUAAAGAUGUCUCAAGUCUUCAAAACCCCACGGUUCCUGCUUUCCUGUCUCUCUGGUUUUUAUUUUCUGUUUAUUUAUUUAUUUAUUUCUAAAUCUUUUUACUCUCUGUCUCUCAAAAGCUCUUCUUCUCUACUCUAAAACCAGACACUUUCUGUUUUAUUUUUAUUUUUAUUUUUUUGGGUUUCUCUCCCUUUAUUAUUUCCUUCACAUUUCAUUUCUCUUUCUCAUGAAAAUCUUGCCACUCCAUCUCGUGACUCCAUAAUCGAGUCUUUGAUUUCAUUACUGUUAUCACUCCGCUCCCCUCUCAUGACUUCUCCACCUUCUCCCUUGUCUUUCAAUCAACAACUACUAUUACUAUGCGCUCUCCACAGUCCCUCCGUAACGGCGAAACUCCGUCGCCGUCACCUCGCCCUCCUCGGUUCCCAACUCCUCACUUCCACUCCACUGUUUCCCUUCAGAAACUGAAACGUUUCAACUUACUUAUUCUUGUUUUCCGUCUUUCUACGUUUUGCUUCUCUCUCGCCUCUUCUGUUUUCAUGCUCACUAACCCCACUUGGUACCAUUUCGACGCCUUCAGGUAUCAAACUAUUUCUAAAUUCUUAAUUUUUUUUAUUUUAAUUUCUAUUUUUCAGUUUAUGACAAAUAUUAAUUGAUUUUGUUUUAAUAGAUACGUUUUCGCUGCGAAUGCUAUCGUCGCUAUAUACUCUCUCUUCGAAAUGGCGGCUUCCGUUUGGGAAAUUUCUAGAGGCAACACUCUCUUCCCUGAAAUUCUACAAGUCUGGUUCGAUUUCGGUCAUGAUCAGGUCAAUUACAAUACAAGAGCCAAUUUUUUUAAUUUUCUGCUUUGAGGUUUGAACACACAGAGAUAGAGAGAGAGAUUUAAUUUGUGUGUGUGUGUGUGUGUUUGUUUGUUUAGGUGUUUGCAUACCUGCUAUUGUCGGCGGAUUCGGCGGCGACGGCGUUGGCGAAAACGUUGAAGGGCGGAGACACAUGUGCGGCUAGUAACGCGUUUUGUGUGCAAUCGUAUAUUGCUAUAGCUUUGGGAUUUGCUGGGUUUCUGUUUUUAGGGUUAUCGUCUUUGCUUUCGGGUUUUCGGGUUGUUUGUUUUUUAAUUAACGGCUCUCGGUUUUAUGUUUGAAAUUUCAUCAAAUUAGACAGAUUUUGAGUGCGAAGGGGUGAGAGAAACAUAGAAAAGCGAGGAGAUUAGGUGUUUUUUUUUUUUUUUUUUAAUUUUACUGAGUGAGAGUACUGAGGCUGAUACGGGUAUGACUAUAUGUCGUUUUUGGUUAUCGUGCAAUUUGUAUUUGUACAUGAGGUUUCUGCAUCGCUUGUGUAUUAUUAUAAUUUAAUUUUGCCAACUAAUUAACUAGCUUGAAGUUUUAUGAUUUGAAAAGUAUCCAAUUGAGGUCUUCCAGCGUUCUGUAAAUUGAUACCAUUAGAUGUCGAAUAACAUUUCUGCCUNNNNNNNNNNNNNNNNNNNNNNNNNNNNNNNNNNNNNNNNNNNNNNNNNNNNNNNNNNNNNNNNNNNNNNNNNNNNNNNNNNNNNNNNNNNNNNNNNNNNNNNNNNNNNNNNNNNNNNNNNNNNNNNNNNNNNNNNNNNNNNNNNNNNNNNNNNNNNNNNNNNNNNNNNNNNNNNNNNNNNNNNNNNNNNNNNNNNNNNNNNNNNNNNNNNNNNNNNNNNNNNNNNNNNNNNNNNNNNNNNNNNNNNNNNNNNNNNNNNNNNNNNNNNNNNNNNNNNNNNNNNNNNNNNNNNNNNNNCUAUAGAUCUCAUUCCAAAAAUUUAAUAAAGUCAAUAAGUUUUGAAUACCUCAUUCUAAAUAAUAACUUAGCUGUCCUAAACAUGUGUAUUUUUCUUGUCAAAUAAUCAUAUGUUUCUUGCAUAUGCAUUUAACACGGUCCAUCUAAUGGACUAGGAGCAAAUGAACAUAAAAGAUGAUGGGAAAUGUGCAUAGAGUCCGUGCGGGGAAAAGAAAAACUGGAUUUAUGGAAAAGAAACAAACAAAUUGAGAUUCCUUUUUAAGAUACAUUUAAUAAAGCCAUGUUAUAUAAAAUUAAUCUGUUAACUCUGUACAUUAACAUCUAACAAGAGUCUCCGAACCAGAUAAUAUGUAUGCAUAUGGGCUGAAGAUUGAGAUGCAUAAUCAUACCAACAAUGACAUCUUAACCUCUCUAAUGCAUAUUGGCUGAUCCUAGAGAUGCAUAAUCAUGACAAAUGAAACUAAAAAGAUUUAGUGGAUUUUAGAAGUGACCAUUCUAUUCCAGCCAUUUAUCACUCUCUUGGUGCUACUGCAUGCACUGUUGGGGGGCAGUUAGAGAGAGUCAACAAUAUAAUUACCAUUGCAGCAAUUCACAGCUAAAUGGGAAAAGCACUUCUAAAAGUAGCCAAUGAUCUUAAAAGCCAAAAAGAGUACCCAAGUCUCUCAUAAUGCUACUUAACAGGAUAAAUACUGCAAUAAAAUUGUCAUAAUACAUACAAAACAGAACGGUAUAAUUUUUUUGUCUCAACGUAAUGUCAUCAUCCUUUUCACAAAUAAUAGUAGCCUCAGUAUGCUAAAGGCUUGAAUGGUGAUAAACAACUCCCAUUACACGAUUACUAACCCAGCUACCAAAAUUGACAUGGUGAAGAAGCCCUUCAGUUGCCUUCAUAUUUGGGGUCAGCCACUACAUAAUGGUAAGCAAUUACCAAUGCAAAUAUGAAAAUGCCAAGAAAAUUGGCGCAAAAGCCCAAGUCUUGAUCAUCAAACAUCUGCGAAAAUGCCAAAUUUAUUAGAACCAAUGCCCAUACCUAUCUUAUAUCUGUAAUUUCAACUGUCACCACCCUCAAAAUAACUAGCGCCAUCAUAUUUGCUUAUGCUUACAACAUAAAUAAAACCUCAGGAGAAUAACAACUCAAUAACUAAUGGUAGUAUUUAGCUCCGUUCAAUUCUUCCUUGGAACUUAUUCUGUUUCAGGAGUACAGUAAAGGCAACAAUCUACUAUUGAAGGUCAAUUUUCAGCAGGUUAUUCAUUGCAUUCAACUGGAAUUCAGGAAAGCUAUUCUAAAUCUUAGUGAAAAACGCAUAUAUAAUGACAAAUGGCAACUAGUAAAAAGAAAAGAGCUACGAUACAAGCGAAACAUCAGUCAUCAUGUUUGGUUCAUUCAAUUACUCUGAAACUAAACUUUCACAUGACACAAGCAACCUAAAAUUCAAGAUGAUUCCUUAGGUUUAUAUACGUAUAUAAAAACAAUUCAAUUACAAACUCAUUACACUAUUACACUAGAAGAAAAUGAGCAUUCAUAAAGAGUUUCCUCCAAAUCGAACACCUAUAGCUACACUGACUAUGUCGCAAAAUACAGUAAAUUGUUAUUUAAUGAAAGAAAAAAGAAAGAAGGAAUAAAAAAAAAGAAGGAAUCAAGGAGGUGCGAUCGCAGUGGGAUUCGAACCCACGACCUUUAGAUCCGGAGUCUAACGCGAUAUCCACUCCGCUAUGCGAUCGCGUGUGCUGGUAUCGUUUUCUCUUUUAAAUUUUAAUUUCGCAUUUUAAAACCUCGACAAAUCCUUAGCCCUAACAAAUUCAAUAUCCGGACGAUAAUUAAUAGAAAAAAGAAAAAUAAAAUCUCAAAUGCAAAUAGAUCUGUGAUCAGCGAUCACCGUCAGCUACUGAAAUCCCUGUUUCUAGUGUAUGUAUACAAAUAAACAGAGAGAGAGGGAGAGAGAGUUCCUGAAAGAUACCUUUUCUGUUUGGUUGAUUUGAUGCGGAAAAUGCCAAAACAGUGAUAGAUCUUAAUAACAGAACUGUAAGCGCCGUCAGUCUCUCUGUCGGUCUCUCUGGCGAUCUCGACGUUGAGAUUUUUGUAGCGGUUCUGGAAAUUGGAAAAGAAGCCGUUUGCCCUUGCAAUUUGAUCAGCAAUGAGUUUUCUACACAGUACGAGUGGGUUCCAUCUUGUUGUAAUAGUAGUAAUAAUUGGUCCAAAUUUGAUGAUGGACUAAACACGUCUAAUGGGUCAGUCCAUCGGCCCUAAUUCUUCUCUGUUAAACCUAGAAAAUUCUCACCCAAAGGCCAUUAUUAUCAUUAUUAUUGAAUUAGUAUAUAAUUUUAAUAUAAUAAAUAUUAUAAAUAUUAUAUAAAAAUUAUUAUUAUUAUGGGUUAGUUCAAAAAAAAUUGAGAUCAUAUACCGUUUAAGUUUUUGGAUGUUUACAUUAUUAAAGCUUCAUACAAUAUAUCUAUAUACGUUGAAUAAGACGUGUUUUAUUAUUAUCAAAAAAUAAAAUUUAAAUAUUUAUUAGAUUAAAUUAAAAAUUAAAAAUAGUUAAUAAAUUAUAAAAAUAUAAUUUAUGUAUUUAUUAGAUUGCCAAGUUUUUUUUUUUUUUCUCUAAGAAUAUUUCAUAGGCAUGCUUGACUUGAUAUGAUAUAUAAAAACUGAUAAUAAAAUUAAACAAAUUGAUAACAUGAAUGUAUUUUUCUUAAGAAAAAGUUCUUAUAUCAUAAAUUUGAUUGAAAACGAUGACUUCUUUUAUGAUAAAUAAGGUUGUAUAUAAUUCUAAUAAAUUAAGUGUACAAUAUAUAUCAAAAGUUAAAAAGAAAUGCGUAUUCAAUUAGACAAAUAAAUUAUUAAAGUCAAAAGUAUUAAAAAGUGGCAUUUUCUUCUUUACAUAAAAAAGGGCAUUUAAUGAUAUGAUGCAUGAAAGCUGAUUAUAAAAUUAAAAAAAAAAUUAUAACAUGAAUAUAUCUUUUUUUCAAAAAAAAUUAUUUUAUAAAUUAGGUUGAACACAAUAAUUUUUUUUUUUUUAUGAUGAAUAAGGUCGUAUAUAAUUCUAAUAAAUUAAGUGUAAAAUACCUCUCAGAAGUUAAAAAUAAAUUAUAAUAAAAUGCGUAUUGAAUUAUACAAAUGAAUUAUUAAAUCAAAAGUAUUAAAAAGUGGCAUUUUUUUGUACAGAAAGGGCAUUUAAGAAAUAGUAUUGGAAAGGGGAAAAAAACAAUAUGUGGCUGCUGGGAUUCGAGCCCAGGUCUCUACGGCCACAACGUAGAAUUCUUACCACUAAACUACAGCCACAAGAUGGUAUAGGAUUACCAUUUAAUUUAUAAAACUGAUAAAUUUUUAAGAAUAAUCCAACUUAACAGAAAGGAAAAUAAAAGGAAGAAGAAAAAUGAAAUCUUGAAAGUGGUAUGUACAAAUCAAUAUUAAAUGACUAUUGCCUCAAUAAUUUUGAGCAGUUCAAUUGCAUAAUAUGUAUCAAGAAAUCAUUGUUAACACUGUAAAAUGUACAUUUAUGCAAACUUAAUUAGUUUACUCCACAUAAAAAUAUGACAAAUUUGCAAUGCAGGAUGUAUUUCAUAGUUCAAGACCUCACCAAAAAAUUAAAAAUUAUACCAUAAUUUGAUUCUUCAGUUCACAUUUUGUUCAUUAAGAUGUGAUGUCCUUAAAGAAAAACCUUUAAUCUUUCUUAUUAGAUAUGAAAUUAAUUUCAUUCAAUUAUUUUUCUUGUAAAUAAAGUGAAAGCUUCCAAUGGCAACAACAACAGUAAAACUAAACAAACUGCUGCCAUUGCAAAGGAUGUAAAAUAAAAAUAAAGAAUAUUUUAUCCAAGACCCAAUAUGAGCUUUAAGAAAAUCUUGAUCAGCCUACACUUUCUUGGUGUAGCAAAAUCUUUUAAGGAAUAAUACUUGUAUAAUUCAAAUUUUUUUUAAAUUUCAUGUGUUAUGAUAUGCUUUUAAUUGCUAAACUAUUAUAAAUUAAUUAAAAAUAAUGAUGAUAAAUUGAAUAUCCAUCUAUUAAUUACUGUCAGACAUCAAAUUUAAAUAAAAUAUAAAUAUUUAAAUCCAGUUUCUUUCAUAUUGUGUUUGAUUGAAAUGUAUACAAUUUAUGAAAUUUAUUUGUAAAUUUAAAAUUAAUAUACUUUGAACUAAAUGAAAGUUAAUUUAGAAUUUUACAUCAUUAUAUUUGUGUAGAAUUAGUAAUAGCUAAAAUAAAUUCUAAUAAAUAGAUAGAUUUUUCAAAUAAAUUUUAUAUUAGUAAGUCAAUAUAUUCCAUGACAUUAAAAUAUUUUCUUCAACUUUCUCAUUUUUAUUUUAUUUUCACUCAUAUUUUUUUAUCAAAUGAAAUAAAUAUUUUUUGGGUUUCAACUAAAAGCAUUACUACAAAUCUCAAUGCCUUUUUGCUUACAUUUAUAAAUAAGAACCUAAAAUCACGUUUUCAUGAUAUUAUAGGGAUUCAAAGCAAGGUCAUAGAUUUGGAAAAUGACCUUGUCACAAUCAGAGGUAGCAUAGACACAAAGACUUUGAUGGAUAAAUUGCAGGCAAAGUUAAAAAGGAAUGUGCAGCUCUGGGUAGGCAAGAAGAACAAGAAAUGUGAUGAUUGUCAUGCUUCACAAGAGAAGGUAAAGGGCAUGGCUCAAGUACAAUGGAGAACAUAGAAGUGCAAGAUGGUCAAGAGUCAUGGAGACAAGAGACCAGGGUCACAUAGUGGGCUAACCUCUGAACAAGGCCAUGGCUGGAAACAUGGUAAUAUGAAAGGGAGUUUGAAGCCUGUGGGUGCACUUGGGCCCCACCACCUAGUGGUUAUGCUUAUAGAAAUUGUGAGUCAGGUUAUGUAGGGCCAAUUUAUGCUCCUCAAAUUCUCAAUGAUGAAAAUCCAUUAGCUUGCUAUGUGAUGUGAGCUUGUUAUGCUUUGUUAUUUUUACUUAAAAUGAAGGUAAAAGUAAUUAGUAGUAAAAAUUAUAUUCGCAAAAUCAAGACUUUUAGUUUUCUUUUUUGAGUUUAUGGAAAAGCUAACGGGCCAUAUGCUGCGUAACAUGGUAGUUAUUUAUUUACACUCGUUAUAAACAUUAAGUAUAAAUAAAAGAAUAUAAACUUGAGAUCUUUCACUCUCAAGACUCAACGCCCUUAUCGUUUGAGUAAAAUUUUCAGUUUAAAUAUACUAUAAUGUUGUUUUUAUAUAUUUUCAAGAUUUUUUUUUUUAAAUUACUUUGUGUUUUUAACUAUGAUAUUCUUUCUUAAACAACUUCAUCUUAUUAGUAAAUUAAAAUAAACCAGUCGUUUACCUGUGCGCUGCACAACCGUUAUUAUUAUUUCGAUUAUAAAAUUAAGUUGAUAGAUACAAUUUUUAUUAAAUUUUUAAUUUUUAAUAUUAAUUUAUAAGACUUUAAAAAUAAUAGCAAACUAAUUAUUUUAAAAUUUUAUUAGUAAAAUAAUAAAAAAUUUAUUUUAAAAAUAUUUAUUAAUUAAUUUUAGUAUUAUAUAACUUAAUACUAUAAUUGAUAUUACUAUUUUUAGGAUUAAAAUUUUAUUAUAUAAUUUAAAUAUUAAUAUAUUAUUAAAUAUAAUAUUAAAAAUAUAAUUUAAGAUUUUUUUCUAAAAUUAGAAUUAUUAUCUAAUUAAAAAGUUAAUUUAUUAGUUAAUAUAAUAUUAAAAUAUAAUUAGUAUGUUAUUUUUAGAAUAGAACUAGUAUCAUUAUUUGAUUAGGAAACUAUUUAUUAGUUAACAUAAUAUUAAAAUAUAAUUAAUAUAUUAUUUUUAGGAUAAAAUUAGUAUUAUUAUCUGAUUUGGAAACUAUUUUUUAAUUAAUAUAAUAUUAAAAUAUAAUAAAAAUACUAUUUUUUAAGAUUUUAGUCAGUGUUUAACUAGGAAUGUAAUUUAUUAAUCAAUAAAUUAAUAAAAAAAUUAUAAAAUACAUAUAAACUUAAAUUCUAUAUAUCAAAAAAAUUUAAAUUUCAAAAAUUUAUAUAUAUAUAUAUAUAUAUAUAUAUAUAUAUAUAUAAACUACUUCAAAUAGAAACAAAUGUGUUAGAUUCAUUACUUAUUAUAUAGAUAGAAGGAUCAUAAUNNNNNNNNNNNNNNNNNNNNNNNNNNNNNNNNNNNNNNNNNNNNNNNNNNNNNNNNNNNNNNNNNNNNNNNNNNNNNNNNNNNNNNNNNNNNNNNNNNNNNNNNNNNNNNNNNNNNNNNNNNNNNNNNNNNNNNNNNNNNNNNNNNNNNNNNNNNNNNNNNNNNNNNNNNNNNACUUACUAACAAAAAUAGAUAUUCAUACCAAAAUAAUAAAAAGUUUCUUAUUCUAUGAAUAAAAAGAAUAUGCCAAAAAAAAGAAAAGAAAAGGAAAGGAAGUGAAUAAGGUCUACAAUCAGCCUAUGCACGGUGGACGGAAAGAAAUGUCUGUUUGAUCCGCCGAGUCAAAGGUGUUGGGUUGGAUCUGACGCGGAGGAUAAGGCCGCUGCGUAGACCUUCAUAGACUGUCACUUGACUGUUACCAAUCCUUAAUUAGUAAAUUAGCUGUAUCUUACAUGGAAGAUAUCCGCAUUGAGAAUUAGUAAUCUUGUGUUCCGCAUACCACCAAUUACCCCUACUCUCCACCAAUCAGAACAUUCAUUUGUUUCAAUUUCCUGUGCUCUUCUGUAAUCAUACUCCGUUAAUAUAAUGGCCAAGGAGUUAUUUAUAGGAUCUUAAGAAAAAAAAACUCAAAUCUUUUGCAGAGAAAAUACAGAAAAUUAAUUUGUAUAAUUAGUAAACCAAGAGUUUUAUAUUGAAUUGAAUAUAUCUUCUUCAUGCUAUCAAAUAUUUAAUAUGUAUUUUUCAGAUGCAUGAGCAUAUAAUUUAUAAAAUAAAAUUAAUUAAAAAUCUAUUAUGGUAAUCUAUUUUUAUUAUUAGCAGAUAUAAAAUGCUAUUUAAUAUAAUAUUAUUAUAUCAAAAUCAAUUGAUAUAUAAAAUUCUCUUAUAUAUUAUAAUUUCGUAUUUAGAUAUUUUUUAAUUAUAGAAAUGAUAUAUGUCAAUAUUAUUGCAUUGUAGGAAAAAUAAAAAUUAUUUAAUUAUAUAAAAUUAUUUUACAUAUUAUUAUUUAAUUAAAUUAUUUUGAAAUUAAAUUAUAAAAACUAUGGAUAUUCUUAAUGAUAAAAAAAGAAAAAUACCAUUUUUCACAAAUUAUUUGUGAGAUUGAAUUGAAGAGACAUGGCAAAGUGAGAUAGGUGAGGUGGUCACGACAAAGGGUGAGGUCGACAACACAAAAUAACUCCCCAAUAAGUAAAACAGAUUACGUAAACAAGUGCAAAUCUAAAACUGAUACGAGGACGUGUCAAUCCGAGGAUGAAGGAAACUGAAAAAACGACAUCGUAAAAGAAAUUAAAAAAGGGCAAAGAGUUCUAUAAAUCUCAGCCAGCUACCGCCAGUUUCGAUUGUAUAACAUAAUAAACUUUCACUGUCACCCAUUCAAACAAAUCAAAAGCCUUUUAACAUAACUCUCUUCUUCUUCUUCUUAAUUUACCCUCUCUCUAUAUUUAUACAGACACAUAUAUCUCGUGUCAACUGUAUAGUGUCUUUCAAAUUAUCAGCAGGGAAACGAAGAAGAAAUUGCUGCGGUAAUUCCUUGGUUUAAGUUUGAUUUUUUUUUUUCCUUCUGGGGGGUUAAUGUUUUUGGUAAAAAAGAGAGUUAAUUUAGUGUCAGGUGAGAUUCAGAUCUGGAAUUGGUUGGGUGGGGUACAGUUUUGGUGGCUUUCUGUACUUUUCUUGUUUUUGAAGUUUGUCUAUCACUAGUUGGUAAUGUUUGUUAGUGUAAUUAUUAUUGUUAUUGCUUCUUUGUUUUUAACUUUUUUCUUUUAAAAAAUUUUGUAAGUCAAUUUGGUGCAAAUUUAAUUCUUUAUAUAAAGCUUCAACCUUUCACCUUCAUACCUCCCUCCUAAAAUUUAGACUUGGUUUCAAUUUAUUUUUUUAAAUAAAAUUUUUGUUAGCAUUGCACAGGUGAUCAUCUUUUUGGUCUUAUUGAGGUUUAAGGAGUGAAUAAUUUGUGGGUUUAUGGUGAGUUGAUCUUUUUUUCUUUUGGUUGGUGUUCAGGAAUUGAACAAGGAUGGCCAAGGAAGUGUCUAAUGGAGAUCAUAGUUCUGCAUCAAAGCCACCACCAACCCCAUCGCCACUGAGAUUCUCCAAGUUCUUUCAGGUACAAUAUAUAUAUAUAUAUAUAUAUUAGCUUUUUUUAAUUAACACACCUUUGUAUUGGUUUUAAUCAGUCUAGGUUCUCUGGAUGGUGUUGGUAUAAAGUUAUGAAUAACUGUUGUUGCAAUUUGUGGUCAAAAGACUCCUUUUGUGCUUUUUCUUGGUUUACCUGCAGCUGCAUUGUUGCUCAAAGACUGAAAUUUAGUGCAAUGUGGUUAUUCUUGUUCUUGUUGCUGUUUACUAAAAUACAGUUGUGAUUUCGUUAGUUUGUUAAAGUAAUGAAAAGCUAAAAGAUCCCAAAUUGGACAUAAAGAUACAGAAUUUAUACUUGCCGAAGAUCCCAAUUUGUUGUUUUGAGUUUCAUGCUUAAGUGAGGCAGAAAAUGAUGUUCCGAGUACCUAUUUUGAUCUUAUAAAACUUUUUGCUUGUGGUGGCAGUCCAAUAUGAGAAUUUUGGUAACUGGAGGAGCUGGGUUUAUUGGCUCUCACCUGGUGGACAAGUUGAUGGAAAAUGAAAAGAAUGAGGUAAGCAGUAAGGAUGUUCUUGUAGCAGUAACAACAAUGUCAUAUUUUUGUCUCUUUUAUUUAUCUUAACUUGUUUUGCCUUAAUAAUAAUGCCCCCUUGUUCAGAAUAAAUCAAACACAAACUCAUGCAAGGAACAGUUAAAAAGCCACUAAUGAAGAGGAUGUUUAAGCUUCUUGUAUGGUGUAUAUCUGUCUCUAUAGAAGCUUUUAACAUAUGUUUCAAAUUUCACUCAGGUUAUUGUUGUGGAUAACUACUUCACUGGCUCAAAAGAUAAUUUAAAGAAAUGGAUUGGUCAUCCAAGAUUUGAGCUUAUUCGUCAUGGUACUGCUGUUUUGGUCUUAAAUGUUCAAUCCUUGUUAUUAAUGGUAAAAUUGAAAGAAUAGUUCUUAUAUAUUAUGUUCUCCCUUCUUACUACAGAUGUCACUGAGCCAUUGCUCAUUGAGGUUGACCAAAUAUACCACCUUGCUUGCCCUGCAUCUCCAAUCUUCUACAAAUACAAUCCUGUAAAGGUAUACAUGUUUGUACAUCCUGCACCCCUGCUUCUCUUUCUCCUGCUGAAAGUGCUUUUUGAUUGAGUUCUGAUAAUGUUGACCUACCUAUUACCAUCCUAUCUAUGGCAGACCAUAAAAACAAAUGUGAUUGGCACGUUGAACAUGUUGGGGCUUGCCAAGCGUGUUGGAGCAAGGUUUAAGGCUACUACUUUACCUCUUUGAUGAUAGUCAGUUCAGCAUUCUUAUGUUACUAAUUGUAUAAUAACAUGGAACAGGAUUUUGCUUACUUCAACUUCAGAGGUCUAUGGAGAUCCACUUGUACAUCCUCAAGAAGAGAGCUAUUGGGGGAAUGUCAAUCCAAUUGGUAUGUUAGCCUCUAGAAUAAGUAACUUAUGGACUCAUGCAAUUGAUCGUGGGAAGAUGAUUCAAUUGUUCAAGGAUUUCUUAUAGAUAUAUAAUAUUUAGUUUUAUCAGUUUAUUAAAGUUAUAGGAAGAACGUUGCAGAGGUGUGUACGGGAAAAGAGUGGGGUUUCUUUUUUUCUUUUUCGCGGGGGUGGGCAGUAAUCAUAAUAAGUUUUAUCUGGGAAAACAAAAUCCUUUCGAACUUUAUUUUUGUUGACAAUCAAUUACAUAUCAAAAUUUUUCUUUAGAAUAAUUCUAAAAUGCUUUCUGUAUAUGAGAAUCCUUACAACUUGAGGUACAAUAUGCACUACCCAGAUAAAAAAGAAAUGUUCUGAUUUGUAUUCCUUGGUUUGCAAAAUACAGGAGUCAGAAGCUGCUACGAUGAGGGAAAGAGAGUAGCUGAAACUUUGAUGUUUGAUUAUCAUAGACAGCAUGGGAUUGGUAAAUGGUUCCAGCCCCUCUGUUUCUCUUGUUUAAGUUUUUAAACUAGGGUAAAGAAUGUUUCAUCUCACUUUUCAAUACUUUAUUAUCUAUUAGAGAUACGAAUUGCCAGAAUUUUCAACACUUAUGGACCUCGCAUGAACAUUGAUGAUGGACGUGUUGUUAGCAAUUUCAUAGCCCAAGCAGUCCGGUAAUUUUUAAAUUUCAAUUCCUAUGAUGGCCUCCCACCUCACUGUUAGUGGUGAGGUCUUUCUUAGAAUCAUAUUCUUGCUGCAGCUUUUAACUUACUGUCACUUUAUCAAUAAAUGCAGUAAUGAGCCCUUGACUGUUCAAGCACCCGGAACACAAACUCGUAGUUUCUGUUAUGUGUCUGACAUGGUAUGCAUAAAUCCUAUUGUUACUUUGAGUAAAUAUAGUUGAUGAAAAUGAAUUAUAAUUGGUGUUGAUCAUUAUUGACCUUCACAUGAUCAUGUCUAAUUUUAAAGGUUGAUGGCCUUAUUCGAUUGAUGGAAGGAGAGAACACUGGCCCUAUCAAUAUUGGAAAUCCAGGUGAUAGUCUGAACUUUGUAACAAAUCAUCUCUGGUUCUUUAAGGCACUUGACAAAGUAAAGAAAUUAAAAGUUGCUUCUGUUAUUAAUGUUUUUCUUUUUUCUUUUCUCAUUAAUGUUUUAGGUGAAUUUACAAUGCUUGAACUUGCUGAAACUGUUAAGGAGGUAAGUUCACUUUUCUUUUUGCCUCUCUUUAGCUUUAAGUAGGCAGGCGAUACUUCUUGAUGCAGCAAGUGAUGCACUUGCCACAGAUUCAAAUGCCUAAUUUUUUCCUAAACAGAAUCAUUGCAAGACAAAACAGAAUAUAUUUGCAUAAAUUAACAAAUUUAUGUGUAUACAGUAUGGGUGUAUUUAGUAUUGAUACUCAACAAUCUAUGAUGCAGCUUAUCAAUCCUGAUGUGGAGAUCGCAAAGGUGGAAAAUACACCUGAUGAUCCUCGUCAAAGGAAGCCAGACAUAACAAAAGCAAAGGAGUUGCUAGGAUGGGAACCUAAGAUCAAGCUCCGUGAUGGCCUUCCACUCAUGGAGGAUGAUUUCCGACUGAGGCUUGGUGUUCCCAGAAAGAAGUGAAGUAUAUAGUACCAGUAAAAUUUGAGCAGUACUAGAACAUUCUCCGGCAUGGCAACCCUCAAUCCACAGUUACUUGUUACUACCAAUAUUUUAUUUACAAUAAAUGUUUUGUGUUCUUAUCAUACAAAUAGGUGGUCAUGUAAUAUAUGGAACUUAUCCUUUAAUGGGUGGUAUAUGGAUUGAUUAUGAAGUUUUGAAUAUCAUGGAUAAGUUCAUCUAUAUCUAAGCAUCUUCCCCCUGUUUUUGAUGGUGGGUAGUUAUAUUCUUUUGUGUUCUCAAUAUCCCAUAUUAAAGCUAGCACCAAAUGUUAAAGGCACUUGCCGCACGCAUUACCUGCCUUUUUCCCUUCUCUCUAAGAGCCAGCCAACAAGAUUCAGGUUUAUUUCAGAACUUUCAGUUAAAAGGAUAAUACUAUACAACUCGAGUCAAUAUUUUACUGAAGGUUUUAAAUGAAAUAGCUGUUUGAAUUCCUAAGAAAUCAUGGAAAAACUGCAGAUGCAACCUCAGAUUAGCUAUGAUUUACGUAUACUUCAUCACAAGGUGAACAGGUUUAACUAAGGAGAUCUUUCUUCCAUAAUUAAAAGCAACAAUGAGCUCCUUCUCUAAUUAUUGCUUCGCUUCUAACAUUAAAGCAAAUGCUGGUAUAUAUCGAAGCUGUUCUUUCAACUGAAUUUCUAAUCAUGUAGACAUUAUUAUUUAGCUAUUUAACGACGAGGGGAUUAAGAAAAAAAAUGAUUUCUAUCAGAAGUAGAUGGGGUCAAAAAAGGGUUAUGAAGGGAAAAGAAAUACAGUCCAAAUGGAAUUUCUAAGCUUCUGCAACAACUUUAGCUUGAGGUUUUGUAUCCUUUCUGUUCACAAUCUUCUUAGCCGAUGCUUCACCAUCUUCUGUUUCUGUUUUGUUCUCAAUUCUUGCAAAGACUGGUUUAGGCUGAGCCAUGACCUGACCACCCUUCAGGCCACCCCACUUUGUCUCACUCUGCAAAGCAAAAUCUUGCAUAUUAAUAGAUCAGAUGAUAAAAGUGUUUCUGGUUUACAUGCAUGCAAAAUAUAUAAUGGAAAGAAAUGUAUAGAGAUAGAGACAGACCCAGGUCAGAGUGUUGAAGUGAUCCUUUGAGUAGCCAAGCUGUGCAUAUAUUCUCCAACAUAAGCUUGGUGAGACAGGGGAUAAAGCAAUGGCUAUGAUCCUCAUUGCUUCCAGUAUAAUCACAAGAUCCUGCUUAGCAUCAACCAAAAAUGAGAUCAGCACUUCAAUGACAUCUUAUGCUAGGUCAAUUUAAUAUAAGGUCAAUAGUCCAAUUUCUGUUUGCAUACCAAGCCGAUGGAUCACGUUUUAUCUAUUCCAAUUGUGCAACAAUUUGUUUACUCAUUGUCUCUAUAAGAAUUAUCAGAAGUUUGACAAGUUCAGGACUAAAAUGUUUCCUUUCUCAAAUAUCAAAUCAUCAGUUUUCUUGCUAUCUGUGAGACCAUAUUUUAGACAUUAUUGAAGAGAGAACAGUACCUUUGCAGCAGCUUCAGAAGCAGCACCCCCUUGCUUAAAAAGAGACCAUGGGGCACGUUCAUCCAUGUAGGCAUUCCCAGCAUUACCAAUCUCUAGAACAGCCUCACAAGCCACCGACAAUGCAAGAUUUUCAUAAUGAAUCUGAGCUUUGUCAACCUACAAGGAAGUAUAUUGAGCAUUUGGAUGAUAUCAGCACAUAGAUGGAUAAAGCUGCCAGAAAUAUUCUUAUACUCGCAAGAGACAAAUUAGCUAUGGUACUUGAAUGAGCUGAUGGGGGNNNNNNNNNNNNNNNNNNNNNNNNNNNNNNNNNNNNNNNNNNNNNNNNNNNNNNNNNNNNNNNNNNNNNNNNNNNNNNNNNNNNNNNNNNNNNNNNNNNNNNNNNNNNNNNNNNNNNNNNNNNNNNNNNNNNNNNNNNNNNNNNNNNNNNNNNNNNNNNNNNNNNNNNNNNNNNNNNNNNNNNNNNNNNNNNNNNNNNNNNNNNNNNNNNNNNNNNNNNNNNNNNNNNNNNNNNNNNNNNNNNNNNNNNNNNNNNNNNNNNNNNNNNNNNNNNNNNNNNNNNNNNNNNNNNNNNNNNNNNNNNNNNNNNNNNNNNNNNNNNNNNNNNNNNNNNNNNNNNNNNNNNNNNNNNNNNNNNNNNNNNNNNNNNNNNNNNNNNNNNNNNNNNNNNNNNNNNNNNNNNNNNNNNNNNNNNNNNNNNNNNNNNNNNNNNNNNNNNNNNNNNNNNNNNNNNNNNNNNNNNNNNNNNNNNNNNNNNNNNNNNNNNNNNNNNNNNNNNNNNNNNNNNNNNNNNNNNNNNNNNNNNNNNNNNNNNNNNNNNNNNNNNNNNNNNNNNNNNNNNNNNNNNNNNNNNNNNNNNNNNNNNNNNNNNNNNNNNNNNNNNNNNNNNNNNNUUCAAAAUAAAAAAGCAUUGCUGCAUGAAAUAAAAUUAUGUGUAAGAGAAGAAAAAUUAAAGGCUUUGCUAUAAUACUGCCAAUAAAGCCAACAUCACAACUUCAUGUUGCAUAUAAAUCCAUUUAUAAUGUUGAAGGCAACUCCAAAUGCAAAAGAAACAAAUGAAUACGAAAACUAAAUAUAAAUUCCACAAAGAAACUAAAUAACCAAUACCACAUAACCCGAUAACCAUUUUGCAAUUUCUGGGAAAGAGAAUUAGUAAAAUUUUCUCCUGAUUUUAAAAUUUUCAUGCUGUAAAACAUUUUAGUUCAUCAAUUUCUCAAGUUAUGCAACACAUGUAGUAAAAAUACUAAAAAUAUUCUGAGACAACAAGGGGGAAACUAAAUGGUUUGAUCUUGCAAAUUCUAACUUUGAGGUUGUUUGUUUACAUACCACUAACUUCUAUGAAGAAGGAUACCGACUUUUGUAUCCAAAGGUCAGCAGGGCUACCGAUGAUCAACAAGAGUACAAGAAGAAGAUGAUGAAUGUCAAACCAGCAACUUCUUAGUUGCCAGUCCAAAACUCCUACCAUUUCACUAGACAUGUAUCCUAGGAAGCCUUAGAGCAUGAAGUAACCUAUAAAAUUGCUAGUUUAAGAAAAUGAAGUAAUAUACUGAGGUUAAUAAUAUGAAUACCUUUGUCAAGAAUCCAUGCCCAAACACCAUCUUAGGAAGGCCUAGACCAGCAGACAUUAGCAUAGCUGGCCAAUAGACUGCAUGAAAACGUAAAAUAUCCUGCACAAAGAUAAUAAGAUCAUAAGAUGUAUGUUUUCAACUUAAAGUCUGUUUCCAGAAUGUUUUUGGGGAAAAGGCAGCUGUUUCAGACAUUAAAAAGCACAAGUAAACAGGAAAAACAUUUGAAAAGCCAGAAAAAACUGCUAAUUUUUUAUCAUUACAGAUAGAGAUUGUCCCAUAAGUGGAGUAGGUUGGACCUUAGCACAAGCAAUCUACUCCAGUAAUAUGUCACUCUAUAUUCUUAUACUAUUCCCAUGUGUUCUAUUCUCCAACUCUCCCCUUCAAGUGCAACAGGGUCUAGGCUAGUUGUCACUUGCCAAACACGGAUGGCAACCUACUUUUAGGGCUCAAUCUACUCCACUGAUAAUUACUUUUCCAAUGUCGGAUUCUAAUCCAGCAGAUACAAAGUCAUUUGAUUUACACCCUGUCUUCCACCAGUCAAAAUCAAAGUAAAAUGGUCAUACAUGCCAACUUAGUAUAAAAUUUUGGAAAAUUCUCAAGAAUGUGAAUCAAAUUAAGAACAGGCCAAUUAUAAAGUCGUUAGAUUUUACACCCUGUGUUCCACCAGUCAAAAAUCAAAGCAAAAUGCUCAUACAUGCCAACUUAGAUAAAAGUUUGGAAAAAUUCACAAGAAUGUGAAUCAAAUUAAGAACAGGCCAAUUAUAAACAAAAGCACAAGAUGCCCAGUUAAUAAUAUGAUUCAUAUGAUUCAUUAUAAGUCUAAACUAACAACAGCCGAAAUCCUAGUGUCACCAUUAGCCAGACAGCAUUACAAUAAUGAAGUAUUCCUCAAAAGCAUACCUAGAAAGGAAGCUUACAGAGUACAGGCAGAUUGAAAUUGGAUGUGGAUUAAAUAAUAGAAAUAAAAUACAACACGAUGUAAAAAUUUUGUUAGAUUUGGAAAGGAAAAAACUGGUAAAACCUUGCCAAUCAAGUGUAGUGAAGCAGGCCACCCAGAAGAAACAGCAUUUUGCAAAUUAGGUUGCUCCUUGUCCUCUGAUAGAGCUGAUAUAUAACUGCUCAAGAAAAGCAAAAAGUCAGUCAAGUAACUCAUGAGGCUGAAAGGUUGGUGAUCUAUACUUUCUUCUAUUACUAGUGAGUCAGUGAAAAAGAAGAUUUAAACAAAUUAAUUGAUCAGGAAGUCACAAGCUGAGAAAUAUAAUAUGAUUCUGAUCUACACAUGAAAAGAAUAAUACCCCAGUAAAGCGUCAAACCAGACAUAAAUGGUCUGCUUAUUAUCAUUAGGAACUGGAAUGCCCCAAUCCACUGAUGCUCGAGAAAUGGAAAAAUCUUUCAAGCCACUUUUGAUCCAGCUUUGCACCUAAAAGAAUUUCAUAGUAGAAAAUAGAUGUUAAGUGCAGCUGAUAUAGAUGGUGGACAGACCUAUGCCAAACACCGACACUGAACACUGAACAUUAAUGGGGAUAAAAGCUAAUUACUUCAAAGAAUAAAUACCAGUAGUUCAGCAGGAAUGGAAGAGACUAGAGAAAACAAAUCAAAAAGCUAUGAAGCUCUAAAGAAACUAACAGAUUUCUGAUGUAUAGGAAACAAAUCAAAAGCUAGCAGGCUCUGAAGUAACUAACAGAUUUCUGAUGCUCCUUCUAUGCAUAGCAUGAUCAGGUGCAUGAAUACCAAACAACAAAAGAACAAGGUAUCUCGAGGCAAUAAACCGAGCACAUGUUGCAUCUCAAAUAAAUAUCAAUCAAUAAUUAGUUUACAAAAACCAAAUGCUUAAUAAUUUCAUGCCACAUUCCUGCCCUGUAAAAUUAUUGGUCUCUUGAAAAUGAAUUUAUAAAGUCAUUGGUUGUUACAUGACAACUAGAAAGUGAAAGGAUAGAACAAAAAGGUAUCCUUUGCCACACAUAAGGCCUUAUAAUUGAUUUAAACUUACAAAAACUAAGUUUUGUUUAUCCUAGAUGCAGCAUGGGUGCUCCCCUGAUUUUAGAGGCCCAAUCACGAACCGCUGACAUGAAAUAAAUUUAAACAAUCACAACUCAUAAAAAUUUUCAGGUCAAGUUUUGACAAAAGUCCUAAUCACUAUUCAGCCUGUUUCUACCAUAGAGCAUUGAAUAAUUGAAACUAUAAACCACCAACACCUUAUACUGACUCAAAUUAACAUACUCUAAAGUAACUACAGAGAAAAUUUCACCAAUUACACCAGACAACUCUCCCAAUAGUCUUUAUGGUAUACUAACUACAAUAAUUUUUAGAUUUUAAUUUUAUUCUUCUUAUCCAAACCACCAGAAAUACAGAUUGCGAUUAAAUAUGCAGGUAUUGUGAACUUAAUAAGUUCUAACUCAGCAUUCCAGAAACUUAGACGACCAGAAUUACAUUCAACGCAUCAAAGUCAAGAGCUUCUAUUAUAAUGUUAUAACACAGAAUAGAAUGCAAACAAAAGCUAAAAUUUGCUGACAAGAGAAGAAAAUGGGACAUGUCCUAACCUCGUUCAAACGGAAAGAAGGCUGCACAAAAUUUGGGUUCUCUGUCAAAGUUUCUUCUAAUAGUUUUUGGUACUUUGACAAGGCAAAGAAAUAAUUAUCCUCUUUUCGUUCAAUACACGGCUUUAGGUGCAUGGGGCAACAGUUGUUAUCUAGUAGCUCCUUGGCAUCCUGUGGAAUAUAAAUAAUACUACUUACUGUGAGAGGGUAUGGGUUAACACAUGAAUAUAUACCAAAAACAAAAAAGUUAGGGUAAUCAAUGAUGCAUCUUUUGUACAUUGAACAAAAUGCAAAGCAAGAAAUUUUAUCUAAUUGUUCACGUGCUCAACUAUAGCUGAUUGCUUACAAGCAAAAUAGCAGAGCAUUAUAGGUUCCUCAAUCUUAUUAAAUGCAAGUACAAAGAUGAAGAUGUCUAACAGAUGGAAACCAAGUCACCACCUUAUACUCCUCACAGUUGACACAGUAGAGACCUUCGUAGUCAGCACGAUAAAUGUCCCCAUUAGCAAGUACCCUAGAGUAAAAUUCCUUGACAAUUGCUUCAUGCUUUGGAUCAGUUGUCCUAAUGAACUUGUCAUAAGAAAUUUCCAACUGUCCACCAAAAUAAUACGAAACAGAAAACACAAACAGCAAUCAGAAUAAUCAUAACAAACAGUCCAACUAUAAGCUAAAAGAGUAAAAUUGUCAGGUGGAAAGAAAUUUACAUCUUUCCAAAGAGUCCUGUAAUCUUGAGAUAUGACAUCACAGUGCUCACUUGGGCUGGAGCCACAGGCAGCUGCAGCAGCAGCAAUCUUCUCUCCAUGCUCAUCUGUGCCAGUGACAAAUAUAACUUUCUUUCCUAAAAGCCUCUGCCAGUUAUAUAAGCAGCAAGAAUUAGCCACUUAUAGGGUACAGAGCAACCACAGAAACUACCCCAUAUCUACAUUCCACUAGAUCAUUCAACCUUAUAAAUGAAAAAACUAAAAAGAUACGAUCCAAAAUGCCAGUGGCAAAACCCAAGAUAAGAAAAAUAAGGUCUCCGUAUCAUUCAUAUUCAACUCCAAAGGUCUAAACGUUGAGCCACAGAAUAAAUUUUUUCAUACCUUUUCAACCGACUAAUCUAACAAGAAAGAAAUGCAGACAAAUUGGGUCUCCAUAUAAUUAAUAUUCAACUCCAGAAGUCCAAACUUUAAAACAAAAUCAACUCAAUUCACACCUUUUGAUAUUAAGAAAAACUUAACAAAUAACUACUUCAAUUAAUUCAUACCUACCAUACCUAUUAAGUCAAGAAAGCUAAAAAAGUUUUAACAAAAUAAAUAAAUAAAUAAACCUGAAAUCGGGCAAUGGCAUCAGCAGCGAUGGUGGUGUAGGCACUACCCAUAUGGGGAGGGGCGUUCACAUAAUAAAGAGGAGUAGUGAGGACAAAUGUUUCUGCUGCAACUGCUUCACCAUUUUGAGCACUAUUGUGUAUAUUGCUAUUGCUAUUGCUAAUUGUGCAAGUGCAAAACUGAGCUUUUCUUGAUGCAGAAGACGAAAAGAUUAGAUUUUUAGAGAAAUUGAGACGAUUCUUCAAAUGGGUAGUUGUUGUUCUUGAUUUUGAGGUGAUUGAAUAUAAAGGGUUCAGGAGAGAAAAAGUGUUUUGUAUUGAAUGGUUUAUUCUAGCCAUUAUUUCUUCUUCUUUAAUUCACUAAUGGGUGUUCUCUGUUUCACUCUUUUCUUUUAUAUGUAAGUGGGAAAUUGACUUAAGGUUCAUAUAAUCAAUAAAUCAUCCCUCCACUUUCGAGCUUGACUGUGCAGCUUCUUUUCGAAUGGUUGUUUUGGAGAGAGGCAUACGCUAUUGAUAAAGAGUUUUUAGGCCUUUCAUGGUUGAAAUGAUAUCCAAAUAACAGAUUGCCAUGUAAUAACAACAUGCGCAAAUUAAAUUUUGAAUUUCAUUUUAUCUUUAAUUUGGGGUAAUUACUGUAUGCCCAUGUAAUUUUCCAUGUAUUAUGAAUUUUUCAUUAAGAUAAUAGCAGUAAUUUUGGAAUAAUCAGUCACAUCAGUCAUUUUAAUAACGUGAAGAUCAAAUCCAUUUCUUAUUUUAUUUGUUUAUAACAAUAUUUCGUUAAAAAAAUGCUGUAACCUUUGCAAGCUCUGAGAGCCCUUUUAUCUUUUUCAUUUGAGAAAAUUUCACAGUACUCGGUAAUUUUUAAAAAUAUUUCUUUUUUAUUGCAGUUUAUUUUUAUAUAUCUUUUAUAGUAUCAGUUUUUCUGUAUUAUUUUUAAUUUUUGAUUCAUAUUUUACUCUUUUUAAUUUUUUCUCUCAUUUUCUUUAUUGUCGUGCCCCAUCUUUUUCAUUUAAAUUUUAUUAUUAUAAUUUAUUUUUCUUUUUUUCUUUAUUUUUUUGUAUGACUGAUUUAAUUUUAUUUGAAUGUAUGAGUUUUUUUCUGACGAUUUUUGUAUAUUAUAGUUUGUAUUUGUUUAAGUGAAUCUCCAAUCUAAAAGCACUUCUUAAAUCUUAAGAAAAUUGAAAUUUUCAUAUGGUAAGGACGGCAUAUCAGUUCAUUUUAAUGAUGGGUAAGAAAUGUAUUGUUAGUGAUUCAAAUAAGAUAUAUGGUAAAGGUUUAUAAUGUAAAGAAUAUGUCAAAGGCUCUAAGAAAAAUAACAAAUUUUCUUCUCUUUCUGUUAAUAAAUCUUAGAAAAGAGAAAUUUUACAGUUUCUACUUCUGUUAUUCAUCGGAGUUUGAAAAAGAAUAAAAUCGUUAUUGAGAAGAAAAAAGUAGUUCUGAGUAAUNNNACCAGGACUACACUUAGAUUUAUGGAUUUGUGCUAAAUAUCGGUAUUAAAUCCGAAACUCCCGGCGGAUGGCCAGUGACCCAAGGAAACGAAAGAAUCGGUUACAUUUUUCAUAGGAUCUCCUCUUUUCUUGUCGACUAUAGACAGACUAAUUAUCUAAUUAUAUAUUUUUAUUUUUUUUUAUUCUAUUCCACAUUUUAUUUCUAUAUUCUAUAUAUUUAUAUAUUCAUUUAUUAUUUUAUUUCUAUUAUUUUCGAUUUUUAUAUUUAUAGUAUAUUUAUAGAUUAUAGAAUUUCUAUUAUUUAUAUUUAUUUUAUUUGAAAUCUCUAAUAAGUAUUGUUCUUAGUAAAAUUCAGUUUAGAAUUUGGUACCAGGUCUCGUGUCAAUUGCAAAACAAAACAAAAUAAUAUAUUAUAUCCUGUUGCAGCAUUUCCUUAAAAAAAGGUUUCGAUUGUACUAAGAGGGGGGGGGAAGGAAGAAAGCGAGUUAGUAUACUAAUUUCUCGUCCUCAAAUCAGUCCUUCCCGUGGGUUAUUGUCCCAAUAAAAAUAAAUAAGUAAUUGUAGGAAUGAGAUCUUGAUAUAAUUCGAAAAACAACCAGCAAGCCCAAGACAAUAAAAAAAUACGUAUUUUUUUAUAAGAUUAAACAAAAGGAUUCGCAAAUAAAAGUGCUAAUGCUACAACUAGUCCAUAAAUUGUUAAAGCUUCCAUAAAAGCCAGACUAAGCAAUAAAGUACCUCGUAUUUUUCCCUCCGCCUCAGGUUGUCUUGCGAUACCCUCUACAGCUUGGCCCGCGGCAGUACCUUGACCAACCCCAGGUCCAAUAGAAGCAAGCCCAACGGCCAAACCCGCAGCAAUAACGGAAGCGGCAGAAAUCAAUGGAUUCAUGAUAAGUUCCUCGCACAAAAAUAAAAUUAAAGAAAUGGUUAAUGAUACAAUCAAUCAAUAAAUUAUGACUUAAUUAUUCAUUCCAUCAAUAAGAUUUCCCCAUCGGAACGAUAGGGCCGUUAUACUCAUUACUAAACUUGUUGAAGAGAUGAAAUAUAACCACUUUUUUCGGAAGAAAAGGAGGAUCGGGACAAAAUCGACGAAACAGAAGAGAUCCAAGUGAAUGGGAAUUAAAGAUAUGUAUAUUUAUUAGUUUCAUUUUACAAUUUAAAUUUUUUUUCUGACUUUUCCUUGCCUAUUCUGACCGAGGAGAACAGGCCAUUCGGCAGGGAGAUUCUGAAAUUGCGGAGGCUUGGUUCUAUAUUCCUAUCCCGAAAUAAUGAAUUGAGUUCGUAGGACUCCAUAUACGUAUUUUUUAUUUUUCUAUUAUUAUAAUUAUAUUAUAAUUAUUAACAUCCUGGAUCAAGUAAAGACUCUGGGUUUCCAGCAAGCCACUGCUACAUCCAUUUCAUUAGGAAUUGAUGAUCUUUUAACAAUACCUUCUAAGGGAUGGCUAGUUCAAGAUGCUGAACAACAAAGUUUGAUUUUGGGUUUCAUAAUUAUAGGAAUUUGCUCUAUAAGUGAUAUGGGACUCAAUGGAGCAAUUUUACAAAUAAUAUCACAUGGGUUUAUUGGCGCUGCAAGCAAUAAAGUACCUCGUAUUUUUCCCUCCGCCUCAGGUUGUCUUGCGAUACCCUCUACAGCUUGGCCCGCGGCAGUACCUUGACCAACCCUAGGUCCAAUAGAAGCAAGCCCAACAGCCAAACCCGUAGCAAUAACGGAAGCGGCAAAAAUCAAUGGAUUCAUGAUAAGUUCAAGAAAAGCUCAAACGACCUUCAACAAAAUGGUACCUGUACCCGAAACCGACACAGGUAGGUAGGUAGAGAAUACCUAGG
rnacentral:lncRNA from 1 species